rnacentral:lncRNA from 1 species
AAUAUUAAGCUUGGUAGUUAUUUUGGAUUAGUUGAAUUAAAACCCUAAAGUUUAUAACAUUAUUGUGUAGAUAUUGCGCAGACAAUCCAGGUCUGUUCAAGAACGCAGAUUCUGCCUAUGCAACUAUGAUGUUGAAUACAUAUGCACAUAAUCCAAUGGUUUGGCCGAAAAUGUCAAAAUCAGAUUUUACACGUGUGAAUGCUAUGAAUGAUCCUGAAGAUUCUGCUCCAAGUGAACUUUUGGAAGAGAUCCAUGAUUCUAUUGUACAAGAAGAAAUCAAAUUAAAAGAUGAUGACAACAGCAUGAAGAUGUUCAGUAGUCAAAGACCAGGAGGAGAAGAAAUUGGUGGUCUUGAUAUCUCAUUCCAAUCUAACAGCCUCUUACCAUGUUCCUCAUCCCCAUUUUGCAGCUUGGAAUAAAUGAAAAAUUCAUUAACAUCACCAACAGAGAAGGAUCCAGAACUCAUACGACCAGCUUCACAACCGCAAUUUAAGGUUUGGUAACAGAUAAAAAUCAAAUAAGUGAAGUAGUCCAGACCUCCAAUGCAACAACAGAUUUGGAUAUUCAAAGCUAUCAAAUUAAGAUCAAGUUUCUUAUCCUUUUUAAUAUCAUCUUCAACAUUCAUUAGCUUCUUCUUGGCUACACCAUAAACCAGCUCUUUACACAAACCAUUCAAGCAAAUAUGACCUUGAUUUAUCUGCUUCUUAUACUUCCAGCCAGAGAGCUCCAAUUUUGCUUCCAAACUUUUAUUAUAAACACCCAAACAGAUCCAUGGUCUCCACACAUCCUGAUCAAUUAACCAGUUUAAUAAGCUCAGUCCAUUACCUUGUUGUGAUUCCAAUAUUCUAUGAUGUGAUACCCAUACCAUGACAUACUUAUCACUUGAUUUCUCCAUAAAAUAGAGCAUAUCAUCCAACAAUUUGCUUCUCUCUCGAUUGCUUUUAAACUUGAAUUUCCAUGUUUUUGCUAGCUUUUCAAAAGUAGUAACCACUUCAUAGAUCACCACGGCACCUACUAUGUCACAUUCAUGUGCAACCAAAACUUUAAAGUUAAUCUCAGAUUGUACAGUAUGAAGCUCAUACCAAGAUUGGGAGUAUGACUAAUACGGCUUCAUGGGCUCUAGUGUGUGAUCUCCAAGAAUUCCCUGUGACUCAUCAUCAAAGAUCCUGAGUUGUGAAAGCAGAAUCUAAAACGAUACUUCUAGACUUGAUUCAUUCUCUGGAGUAUAAAUAUUUUCUCGAAUCAUGUCCACUAAUUUAUCAAUAAUUUCUUCAACAAUUACAUCAUUUGGUUCCCUAACAUCAGAAGAAUCUUCAUCAUCACAUUCCACAACAAAAAUCUGAGACUUCUUAGACUCCAAAUGAUGACCAUUGGCAUAAGAUCCAUCAUAAGACAUACAAAGUCUUCUUAUUCCGCUUUCUUGUAAUUCCUCACACUAAAGUUUCAUGGGAGACUUCUCCAUGUUGGUUUCAGUGGGAAAGUUUGGUUAAUAUGGUAGAGUUUUAGUGGUUUCAAGAGGAGGUAAUAAGGAUGUAGUGUUUGGAUUGUUGUAAUGGGAUUGGUUAUUUUGGUUUUCAUAAAAACUGAAGGGACCUAGAAGGUGUGUGUAAGAGGAAUGAUUCACAACGCUUGGCUAUCCAAACAUCAUCUACAACUGUAGUGACAUCAAAUUGCCUAGAAUAUGAAGUUAGAUGAGGGUUCAUAUUAGAUAAGAAUAUAUUGAGUGCGUGAGGCAUUGACAAUGAUAACUGGGAUAAAGCAUGAUCAAAUUUCUCCAAAUGCAUUUCAACAGAAUCACACACUGCUUCAAACUCAUCAAUUCAGAUAAAGGAUCAUCAGGAAAUUUACCGAAUUUAGCAGAUAACGCUAUGAUGUAGUCAACCCAAAGUGGGAAAAUUCCAAAAUUAUUUCUGAUGUAAUCGGUAUGCCAUUGAAGAGCUUUACCAAUCAUGUGUGAAGAUGCUACGCAAACCCUCAUCUCAGGUGGUGUUUUAUGAAGAUAGAAAUAUUCAAUGCAGCGUCGGAACCAUUCAAGGAGUAAUGUUGUACCAUCAAACUUAGGAGGUUGAGGUGGUCUUGGAUAUACUGUGAUAGCGUUUGAUGGUGAUUAAUUGAACUCAUAGGUAUGUAUCUGUGAGUUCUAUGACCCUUGAGAGAGAAUCUUAGUCCACGAAGAUUCCAAACUCGCGACCAUUCCAUCUAGCUCAUCGUAGUGUUGCUUCCGCUCAUAGUUCUGCUUCUUGUACAUGAGACAGAUCUCCUCCAUAUGUUUGUUCAAAUUGAUCAUAUAUUGUUGCCUUGUCUACAUGACUAUGGUCCUUAGAAUCGAAGAGCUCAGAUACCAAUGAGACAGUAAUGUCAGUUAACCGAUAAAUCCCAUCCAUCAUGAGGUAAAGGUAAAUCUAGUCUAGAAGAUGACUACAAAGGAAGAAGAGACACUCGAAGAGGUUGAUUUAGAUGGUGAUGAUGAAUGAUGAGUGAUGAAUGAUGAACACGAUAGAGAGAACAAAGAAGAUUAUUGUUUAUUUGUUGAUUUCCCCAAAUGGCAAAAUCGCCUUACAAGUACAAUAUAGUGAUUGUACCAACUACCAAACCAACAUAAAUUGUACCAUAACCGAAAUAAAGGCAUAAAUAACUAAACCAAAUGAUUAAACCGAAUAUUAGGCUUAUAAGCUUAUUCCUGUUACACAAACUAUUUCAUAAACACCCACACUUAACGUAACACACCAGAUUAAAUCAUUCAAUCAUUGGGAGGACGGGUAGGAUCCCGCAGUUGCAGAUCACGAUCAUGAACUCGUCCGGGUCAUGAAAGAAGACCUGCUCCACUUGGAUCCCUCCGUGUUUUAUAACGCCUUUAGAAAGGAGAUAUCCAUUUUCUCGAGGUUCUUCUCUAUUAGUACCAUAUUACUGCACUGUACUUACACAAGGAUGGUUUGUUAUCAAUAUUGGGAAAGAUGAACUAUUUUUCCAUUGCUAACUCACAAAACUUUAACAAUUAAUUACCUGAAACGAGAUAGGGUGAUCCUUUGGAUCAAUCACAGUUUUCGUGAGCACUUUAUCAGGUUCUGGGGAAUACAAUAGUUGUAUUCCGAUCCGAAACCUGACAACCUGAACCUAGAAACUCAUUUAUAACUUUCUGUAAUCGGGUGACAUCCUGUCGCACAAUAAACUCGAAAAAAUCAGACAUUUAACGAUAUUAAAAAGAGACUAUACCAAGCGCCUUCAGAAGAUAAUAUGUAUUUUUAACUGUUUAUAUAUUUAUAUUAUUUUGUGACUAUGAUAAAAUCAUCUUUAUAUAUAAAUUAUUUGAUUGUUUGAUACAUUGAGUUUAUAUUAAAAUCUAUAUAAAUAUAAAGUGUAAUGUGAUCGUUCAUAUAUGACAUUAAAUUAGUCAUUUUUUGGUUCUUUGAAAUAUUAAAUAGAUAUUAGCAAAACAUAUGUAAAAUAUGAACAAAACAUAAGUAAAAUAUUUUUACGUAUGUGUUUUUAUAACACAUAAAAAUAGGAGACUCUCAGAUAUAUGUCAUACCAUCUAUUUUUAUUGUCACAUUAGCAUUUUGUUAAUUAGUUCAUUAAAAUAUCCUUUCGUAUAAAGAUUUAAUUCAAGUUCUCAACUUUCAUGUGUUUUUCAUUUUACUUUGAAACAUUUAAUCAUUAUAUAAUACUCUCUAAAUACAAAUACAAGAUAAAAAAUAUGAAAUAAGAAGAAUUACUAAUAUACAAAAUAUCAUGGAUUUUUAAAAUAAAAAGCGUAAACACAUUUUCAAACUAAAUACAUAACCUAAUUAACUAAAAAGAUAUGUGGCCAUACAAUUUUUUACUAUUUUGUGGUUUUCGGAAAAAAACAAUUUCAAUACACAUGAGGCACGGCACCACCAGAAUGGUUUCAAGCGUUUUAGAAAGAUGAUGAUCCAAAUACACUUGGGUCUUGAGAAAAAGAAAGGAUUUGUGAUUGAAAUGCGUAAGAUGGUGUAUAUAUAGGGUACGGUGUAAAAAGUUCAUAAGGCAUUUGGGCUUGUGUUUCAGGUUGAUUUUGUAAGGAGUUUAGUUGGGCUUUAAGGAUUUUUAGCUCAGAUUCUUUUUGGGCCAUAAGGGGAGAGUUUAUGGAGACAGUAGUAGCCAACUGGAGGAGGUCUUGAUGGAGGGAGGACAUCUUUUUAGUUAUUUCCUUUAUAGAAAGUUCCAAAAUGGGUACCUUUUUGUCGAUCCCAGUUCAAAGUUGCUUCGGCCGCACUCACUUGCUUCACUGUUCCAUCAGGGUUCUUAAUGUUGGGAUUUUUGUUUUUCCACGAGUGUUUGACACUGUUUUCUUCAAACUCCUUUGAUGGAAAUGGUGACUGGGAUGGAGGGCCAAACAUGUAACUCAGUGGUAGUUCUUCCCUGUCCGGGGUUGCUGGGGUCGAGCUAUUCGAAUACAAAACAUAGUAAUCAAAUUUUCCACUACUUGGCUCUUCAAGAAAUCCGACCUGAGGAUCUCCUGAUUCGUAUCUUUCUUUGAGAAUUUGUUGUGAAGAUUUUUUUCCUCUUCUCCACCUCGGGACUUUUUCUUCAUCAGACAUUUUUUACAGUCACAAAUAUCAAAGAAUUUGUGACCAGAGUCACCCAUGAAUGCGUAGACAUGAUUUCCAAGUAAGUCAAAAGAUGAGAUUGGAACGCCGGGCAGACGUGAAUCUAUCUCCAUGAAUUGAUUUUCACAUGCAGGAGUGAUCAUGUUAAUCUCAAUGCAAAAACCGGUCUUGACUUUUCUUCUUGUGCUUGAACGCGAUCUCUACAGCUCCAUCUUUUCGUCUAUGGAUAGAAGAGCCCACUGAUUGUAUUGGUGUACUUCUUUCAUGGAGUUUUUUGUUAUUGGUUACCCAUGAUUCUGAAAGUAGCUUGACUAAUUCGCUUCUUGGGAUUUGCCUUGGAAUGUGGAUGCAUGAAGAGCUAUGUUGUGACUCAAGUUGAAUGAGUAAAGCAUCUUCAGUGUCUCUAGGGAGACUUAAAUCCAUAGCAGAUUUUGGAUUCUAUAUGCCACUUGAUGAUGCAGUGUUGCUGCAUAUGUGUUUCCAAUUUUUGGAGCACCGGUAAUCUGAAGUUGGAUCUGCAUGUUUCGAUAGAUUUGUGGGUCUUCUAGUGCCGCGUUAAAGUUUGGGAAAAGAGUCACAAAGAUAGUGCCAGCAUUUAAUGUCGUCUGGAUGGUUGCAAUGCAUGCAUAUUGGUACUUUUUGUAUCUGAUGUCGGGGAGAGCGACCCUUGCCACUACCGAUAAGCCUUUUCUUCCAUAAAGAGUUAAUGCUAGGCGUAUUGCUCCAUAGUGAAGAUGUGUAUAGCCAAGACUUCGCCAAUGAUGUAUCAUUCCUUUGUUAAGACAGAGAGGAACCAUUUGCUCUGCUUUUGUUGAAAGGACCAUAAACUAUUCUAGAGGAGAGGCUAGAGCGAGUUCUUUUGCAGUAUGUUUGUUAGGCACAAACACAUGUCUGAUGACUUUAGGGAAAGUAGAAUUCGGCUUUAAGAAGGCUUUGUAAGGAUUAAGCAAAGGAAGUUGUGUAAUAGGAACUUUACUCACAUAACUCAUGUACUCUAUUUCAUAUAAAUAAUCUAAUUUUUUAGAGGUGGAUUUUCGAAAAGAGGGUGUUUUGGACAAAGUUGACGUGUUUUCUAUAAUAUAUAAAGAAAGCAGAAACCAAGACAAAAUGCUAUAAACUUCUUCUCAGUCUUCAAAGGAGUAACAAUCCAUAAGUUGUUUUCAUGUGACUAUUUAGCGAUAAGAACAUGAAGAAAAUGAUCACGAAGUACUAGCUACGCAAACCAAGGCAAACAACUCUCAUCAAAAUAAGCCUCAAGGUACUUCGAGCAUUAUGACCUCACGGAUCUUUUCUUUAGAUCUUUUAUUCAAACUUAGCAAGAUUUCUGAUGUGGAGGAUCCAUAAAAAAAUGGCAACCACAGAGCUUACUCUCUAUGCAAAGCAUAUAAUAGAAAACAACGUUAUGACAUACUACCUCUUAGAUAUUGAAGAGUCAAAGAUUAGACUACUAUGGCUUUGAUACCAAAUUUACAGACACAUAGUAGCUACAACCACGUAGGAGGUUUGAUAUGAUCGAGAUAUAGGAAACAAAUAUAUGAAAGAGAUUAACAGUUUGCAGAAGAUAAUAUAUAUAUAUAUAUAAGAGAAAGCUUUUAUUAUACAAGAACACACUCAAGAGAACACAAUGGACUCUUAGAACUCUUAGGAUUUUAGACACUCAAGCUUAUCGUGAUCAAGCCUCACCAAACUUGGUAUUUAUAGUACAUGACUUAAGGAAUAUUACAUAGCAUCGCCCGUCACGUUACUCUGUUUUUCUUCUUCUGAAAGUGCUCCAAUUGGCCAUACAAACCAUUCACCCCCACCGUCUGUCAAGCGAUGACCACAUUCCCUUCCCACAGAGCGUUGUGCCCAUGGUCCACCCAAAAUAGUGCUUCGUUGUGCUCCACUUUUAACCACACCCUCGCUGCUGAUGUGUUUAUGUUGUGCUUUAGACACAAAGGCUUCUUCUUUCCUGAUCUCUCUCUCUCUCUCUCUCUCUCUCUCUCUCUCUCUCUCUCUCUCUCUCUCUCUCUCUCUCUCUCUCUCUNNNNNNNNNNNNNNNNNNNNNNNNNNNNNNNNNNNNNNNNNNNNNNNNNNNNNNNNNNNNNNNNNNNNNNNNNNNNNNNNNNNNNNNNNNNNNNNNNNNNCUCUCUCUCUCUCUCUCUCUCUCUCUCUCUCUCUCUCUCUCUCUCUCUCUCUCUCUCUCUCUCUCUCUCUCUCUCUCUCUCUCUCUCUCUCUCUCUCUCUCUCUCUCUCUCUCUCUCUCUCUCUCUCCUCUCUCUCUCUCUCUCUCUCUCUCUCUCUCUCUCUCUCUCUCUCUCUCUCUCUCUCUCUCUCUCUCUUGUAUGAACUUGUCAUCUCUGGGGACUAGCUACGCUUAAGUUGCAUGUGCUACUUAGACCUGUGUCAAUGAGGUGAUAUUAGUAGUAUGGAGGUUAUUCAUUCCCUGCUGCUCUAUCAAAUUUUUUUAUUCUGUCUAUAUCAUGUUUCUUUUUUUUUUGGCUCUAGUUUGGCAUUGUUCAUAUUGUCUUCUUACUAUAGAAAAAUAUGGUGGUGAUAACUCUUUUUGGUUUGCUAACUACUUUAGCUUUCGUUUGUGAUUUUUUUGUAUAGAUGGUUCAAAGGUUGCUACGCAGGGUGCAUCCUAGAGCAUAGAUGAGAGGUACUGACCAACCUAGUAAAUUGAUAUUUAAUUUUGCGAUUAAGGUACUCAUCUGUUUAUGUUCAUGUUUAUGUUAUUCACUUUUAUUUAACCAUUGUAGCUACUAGCCACACUUGAUAUCAUCAAAACUCUUCCCAAAAUCGUAUUUGUUAAGUUUAGUUUUCUGUAAUACAGUCAUAGUUUGAGCCUUAGUUUUUUUUUUCCUGAUAUGUUUUAAAAUCACCAACUUGUCAGGGGUUUUGUAAUUUACAUGUAAAGGUGGCCUGUUCUGUAUUUCUCUAGUCUGACACUUAAUAUUUAUUUAACUUCAGUUCACAAGCUGAAGGUGGAGGUGAGAAAAACUGGAGGAGAAGGAGAUGAACAGCAAAAAGUCCAAAGUGCUGAAAUAGCCCAGCAGGCUAGCCAGUCAAAAAGCGGGACUAUAAACAUUUUAUUAGCAAAUGCUGGACACAUAUUAGGGGGUGCGGAAGUGGAGCUUGUUCUAAAACCUCUAUUGGUUUGUUGACAACUUACUUUGAUGUCAUUCCUUAAUUGAGCAAUGACCUGACAGACAAAAGUUUGCUGCUUAGAAGUGUCUGUUAUGGGAUUUGUCUAGAUGAAACGCAAAUAAUCUUCUGUUCCAAUGUAUAUCAUAAACAAUGAUCGUUUGAUGUAUCGACGGUCCAACUUGAUUUCAUUGUUUUGAAUAUAUUCACUUGAUGAGCCAGUGUCUAGAUAAACACACAAAAUUUUAAAAACAAUUUAACUUUUUUAAUUGAUUUUUUAUUUAAAAAUAAAAUAAAUUUCUUACUUUAUAAGUUAAUAAAAAUCUAAUGUCUUAUAACUUUCUUUUUCCCGUCUAUAACUUUUAGUCUUUUACGUUUUACUGAUUUAGCAAAAGCAGACUUCAAGUGUCCGCCGGAGUCUCAAGAAUGGAAGUAUCGGCAACAGCAAAACUAGCUCCACGGCUAAUAUCAGCGUCCUAGUUAUACGCUGGUGGGAGUACUUCGUUCCGAAUAGACAUGAACACAGCUCAACUGUUUUAGUAAAUCUUAUUUUAGUAAUAUAUACUCCACAAAACUAUAUAUUAAUUGUUUUAUACCAAUUAAUUAAUGCAUACGUGCACCAAGAAGAAAAACCAAAAUCUGAAACCAUCUUUUUUAUUUUGUCAACAAACCAUCUUCAUUAGAUAAAUGUCUUUUUCGUCAAAAGGAUAAUUAUUUGUCUUAACAUAUAAUUAAUAAAAGAAAUAUUAAUUUUAUAAAAUAUUUUUUGAAAAAAUGAGACUAUGUGUAAAGUGUAUUUAUUAAAAUAUUUUUAUUAAGUUUGUUAUUGUUUUUAAGACACUCAUAAUAUAAUAUUAGUAUUUUAUAAUUACAUACUAAUAAAAGGAGUUAUUUGAGAGGAUGCCACGUCAUCUUUUCUAAAUCAUUUUAGAGGAUGCCACGUCAUCUUUUAACUUCUUCAAAUUAAACGUAGCCACCUAAGAUUGAUGUUGUUGUUGAUGUGUUAAUGGAUUUGAUAUGGAUCCUUAACCACUUAAUAUUCUAUAUACAUAAUAGUUUUGAUGGAUCUUUAUAUUUUUUUUUUCCUCAAGCAAAACCCAAAUGUCCAAAGUAUUCUCGUGGCCCAACUAAUCUAAAAAAAAACAAAAACCUACUUUCUCACCAUCUCUCUCAUCGUCUUCCAGUUCCCACCCUCACGAUUCAUAAUCAAAGAAAACAAUAAUCGUUAUACCGGUUUAACUUUCUUAUCAAACCUUAAACCUUUCCACUUCGUAUUUUUCAUUCUCUAAUUUAAUGGCCACUACCUCCACAACCAUUAUCAGAUUCAAAAAUCAAUCCUAUAAAAUCUCCUUUCCUCGCCGACCAUACAUACAUCUCAAGAAACUCUUCAGUCUUAAAAUGUCUAAAUAACAACCCCAAUUUACUCUUGAGCCUUUCACGUUCCAGAUUUUUUAUGGCGUUGAAGGAGAAGACGAAGAUGUUUUGCUCUAAGGUAGCGUCUUCAACUAGACCCCUUUGUUAGUUGUUGGUUCUUUGAAAUCGUAAUUGAUAGUUUGAAAUUUUGAUCUGGAUUUGUGUAGUUGUGGUGAUGAUGGUAGAGUUAGGGGAUGGAAAUGGAAAGAAUUACUUACUAAUAAAAUGAGUUAUUUGGGCUCCCGAAGCAAGCCACAUCAGCUUUUCUAAAUCAUUUUAGAGGAUGUCAUGUCAUCUUUUAACCUUUUUAAACUAAACGUAGCCACCUAAGAUUGAUGUUGUUGUUGAUGUGUUAAUGGAUUUGGUUUGGUUUGGCUUUAUUUUAGUUUGGCUUUUUGUGGUUUGUGUUCAACCAAUUAUUUUUUUGUAAAUCUUGUGGGUGAAAACGUGACUAUAAUCUUCCACGUUUUUAUUCUUUAAAAUUGUAAAAAUUAGAGAUAGUGAACCUAAUUUAAUAUAAUUUUAGAUUAAUUGAUUUAUAAAAAUUAUAUCAAAUAUGACAAAAUCAAGUGCAAUGUAGAAAAAAAUACAUAUUUAAUAUUUAUAAUAUUAUUUUAUAUUAUUAAUUAGUUAAUUAAAUACACACAUUGUGUUAUCGGUUCUGUUCGAUUUUUUACCGAAUUGAACCGAAACGUUCUAGUUAAAUAUAAAUAUAACCGAAUAGUUUGAAUGUCAAUUAUGAUUCGGUUUGGGUUGGUUGGUUAAAUUUGGAUCAAUUUAGUUCGGUUCAAAAGGGUCUUUUAUAAAAUUACUAGUUUAGUACCCGUCCGAUAGACGGGUUAUCUUUAUUUAAAAUUAAAUUAAAAUUAAAUUUAUUAUAACUUUUAAAAAAUAAUUUCCAAAUCUUUUUUUUGAAAAAUAAGAGAAAAUUAUUUUCAUUUGGAAAGAGAUUUUAUUUGGUUUAAUGUAUCAAAUAAACGUGUAUAUAUGUAUAUAUAUAUAUAUAUAUCUUAAAAUACGGUAUUAAACGUUAAUUAAAAAAAUUUAGUAAUGUCAAACGUCAAUCACCAAAACAUUUGGGAGCUAUUUGGGAGCUAUUCACCAUUAUUCAUAAUAUUUCUAAAAUAUCUAGAAAAAUCUUAAUUUAGCAAUUAUCCUCUAAAGCAUGAUUAUAUCAUUUUGUAAAAAUUGUUAUUUCUUAACUGUUAAUUUUUCAAGAAAUCAUUCUCAAACUAUGAAAACUAACUAAUAUUAUUUAAUAUGAUGGUAAAGUUCUUGCAAAUUAACAUCAAUCUAAAAUAUGAUGUUAAAUACAAAUAUAGUCAUUUGUAAAUAAGUUCAUAUAAACAACGCAAAUAAACAUAAAGAUUCUAAAAUAAAUUAUAGCAUCGUUGAUGAAAACAUUAAAAAAUCUUUCAAAUACGAAUUAUAAAAAACUACGUAUUUUUAAAAAAUAUUUUAAAAUUACUAUAUUACGAAUUAUAUUGAAAUUUUGUUAUCUUUAAUUUAAGCUAAAAAUAUUAUUUUCGAAAAUUGUUUAUUCACCCUUAUGUUUUAGACAAUGAAAUGGCUCAAUGGCAUAAUACAUUCAUACAUAAAUUAAAAAUUAAAAAAAUAUAACAUGUUAUAAAAUAAAAAUCAUGACUAAAAAUAUUUAUUUAGUUAAACUCAAAAUGUAAAUUAUUUGUACAAUGUAAAUCCUAAUUUUCCUUUAUGAACGCAAACUGAUAAAUAACCUUGUUUAAUUGUAAAAUCUAAAUCUCACUCCUCUUUUAUAAACCCAAACCGAUAAAUAAUCUCGUUUAAUUAUAAAAUCUAAACUAUAAUAAACAUUUAUAAACUCAAACCAACAUAUAACCCUUAUAAAUGUAAAACCUACAACUGGCAAAACCAAAAAUUAGGUAAAUAGUUAAAAGAGAAUUUUUGAGAAAUACCCCUUUCAGUGUACAUCUUUUUAAAAAUACACCAAUUUUCUAUCCAUUUUUAAAAAUUCCUCUUUCAAAUAUGAAAAAUUGUAAACUUUUAUAUAGUUACCAAAUUGACAUAACUGAAAUUAGGUUAUUUGUUUAAAUUUAUUAAUAAUUUUUGAUAUAUAACUCUUUAUAAUAUUUGUUUUAUAUAUUUCCUUUUUCGAUAGGGUUAAUAAUAUUCUUAUUUUAUCUACAUAUUAACAAAAUUAGAAUCGACACGUGUCAACAUCUUAACGUUAAUAACUGACACAUGUCAAGAUCUUUGUAAUGGCUGACUUUGAAAACCAAAGAUUAUUAGGUUUUAACCCGCGGUACACCACGGGACAAUUGUUUUAACUAAAAAAUAUAUAUAAGUUAUAUUUGUUAAUUUUAUUACAUUUUUAGUGUUUAAGAUUGUAUAACUGUAUUUUUGAUUGUUAUUUUUAUUACUUAACUCGCGGGAUUGUUUUUUGUAACUCGCGGAACUAAAAAAGUUAUGUUUAAGUUAUAUUUGUUCUUUUUUUUGUUUUGUUAACCCGUAAGAUAACCCGUAAGAAAAACAUAAAACUCAAACCCGUUAAAUCUUAUCUAUGUAAAAUAUAAACCUUGAAUGUUUUAUAGAUUUCGAGAGAUUUUGGUUUUUGCCACAAUCAAGAUUUUAAAAUUUUUGAUUCCCUAAAAUUUAGUAAAACUUUUUUUGUUGUAAUCUUCCAUUCAAGAUUUUGGAUUUUUAAGUUUCAUAUUAGUCAUAUUUAUAAUGGUUCCGAACCAUUGUCUAAAAUUUUCUACCCGAUGUGGGACGUUAUAUAAAUAUGUUUUUUCUUUUAUCGAUUAAGUAAUAUACGUCCGUUUUCAAAAAAUCAAAUUGCUACAUAUGCAAAAAAAAUUUGUAUUUUUAUUAUACUUAUGUUUUACGUAAUAAUGUAAAUUUUAAAACAAAUAAGAUCAUAUAAGGAUAUUGGAGAAAUAUUCAAUUUAUUAAGGAGACAUUUUAGGAAAUUUUGUUAAAUGUAAUAAAUAUUAGUUUAUAAUUUUGCAAUUCUGGUGUAAUUUAAUUACAAAUUUUAUCUUAAAAGCUUGUUAUUUAUUUAAAUGGGAAAGAUUUAUUAUGCAAAUAAUACAAAAUAAAAGGUUAUUUUACAAAAGGUACUUCAAAAAUGUUAAUAUAGAAUCAUAGAUAUAAUAAGAUCAGCCUAUUACCCGAUAACAAUACUUGAAAAAAAAAAAAAAAAAAAAAAACUAAACAGGGUUGACCAAAAAAAAAACAAAAAAAAGACGGGCUAUUUAGUUUAAACGUCUGUGAAUGUAACGAGCUUUAGAGAAACACUUACAAGAAAGAAAAAAAAAAUCCUUCUGGUUCUUCCUCUUCCUCGAUUCGUUUCUUCCACAGUUCAUUAGGGUUUCAAUCUCUCUGCUCCUUAUCACCACCAUCACCUUCGUCUCUCUGUAUCUUCCGGCGGCUCCUUUCUUUACUUCCCUCAGGUAAACUCUGUUUUUACUCUUUCACUAUCUUCUUCUCUCUCCCUCUUGCGGGUUUCGGUGAAGCGGGAGAUUCUUAAAGUCAAUCCAAUGUAAGCACGAUGAAGGAUUGGUUGUUGUUAUUUGUCAAGGUUUACUUCAAGCGUUGUGAAGAGUAUGAGCGUCGUCUCGUUAAGAUCAAGGAGAUAUUUUGGCCUUUCCAGCUUUCGAUUCGAUUUCUCUGUUUUCGGCUUGUGUUUUAGUGAUUCCUCGUUUGAAUUUUAUCUUGGCUUUUCAAUCUCCUCACAUAAUCGAUUCCUCUUAGAAAAUUUUGUUGUUUUGGUUUGUUUCGAUCUUAUCUUCUUGGUUUCAUUUACAGUGAACACAAUUUAGAUAUAGUGCUUCUUCUUGUGUGAAUUCUUAGUUUAAACGAUAUGGCAUAUAGCUUUAGUUUUGACUGCUGUUUGAAUAAGUAGGAUUGUGCUCCAUUAAAAUAGAAUAGUUUUACUACCAUUCUUUUGUAUAGAUUUGAGCUAGAAAUAUUCCCCAGUGAUCUUGACUUUUGUUUUGUGCUUGCUUAUGAGUUACUGUAUUUUGGUUCUUGUACCUAAUUUUUUCUGUUCUCUCUUCGUGGAUUCAAUUGUGAACUAACUGAAUAAUUGCUCGUCUAUAGUGGCCUUACUUAACACUGUGAAUCUGAUGUUGUUUUAGUGAAUUUGGAUCUUUUAUGACAUAAUUGUUCAGUAUUCAUCUUCUAAUCAUUAUUCCGGACCAUGUUUUCAUCUUUAUUGGUAUAUUAAUGUUGUUAUAUACAUCUUUAGUUUAAACGGGUACAAAACAUUUUCUGUUUCAUGGGCAGGGUCUAAAUGGGCAGGGUGCGGCCAUUUUGACAUCACUACAAAGGCUUAAAUAUAUCUCUCUCUCCCAUCGCUGGAAAUCGGCUUGAUUCCUCCGUCACCACCUUGCCACGCCGGAGAUUUGGUCGCAAUGUUGUCGUUCAAUCUAUCUCAUCCUCUCUAUUUGAGAACCCGCCAUCUCAAGCUUUUAUCUUGUUACACAGAUUCGUCUUCUCCUUCAAUCGCUCGAAAGGUUUACUCCAAAAUUUGUAUUUGAGUUCUUAAUUUUGCAUUGCUUUCACUUCAUAUCUUGAAUUUGGUAAUCUAAUAUUGUACAGUUGAUCAAGGACUCGAAGCUAUCAAGAGUUUUCAGUAGAAAGCUACAAAUUGUAGACUAUGCUUCAUUAGUGCAAACCUUAAGCCAGAAAAGAUUGCCUAAAGUAGCUUAUGAGAUUUUCAUCCAAACGAAAUCAGAUAACCUGUUGCCAAAUUACAGAACGCUUUGUGCUCUUAUGCUUUGCUUUGCUGAAAAUGGGUUUGUUCUUCGUGCACGUACGAUUUGGGAUGAGAUUUUAAACAGUUCUUUCGUGCUUGAUCUUGUUGUCAUAUCAAAGCUCAUGUCUGCUUAUGAAAAGAUUGGUUGUUUUGAUGAAAUUUUCGUGAUCACCAAGGAUGUAAGUGUGAGGCAUUCGAAGCUGCUUCGGGUUGUAUGUUCACUUGCUAUAUCUUGUUUUGGAAAGAAUGGUCAGUUGCAAUUGAUGGAGGGUGUUAUAGAGGAAGUUGAUUCUAAGGGAAUGUCGUUAGAUUCUGGCACGUCUAAUGCGAUUGUUAGAUACUAUAGUGUUUUCGGUACUUUAAAAAAGAUAGAGCAGGCAUAUGGCAGGCUUUGGAAGUUUGGAAUUGUGAUAGAGGAAGAAGAGAUAAGGGCUGUGUUGCUAGCAUAUUUAAAAGAAAGAAAGUUUUAUCGGCUACGUGAGUUUUUGUCAGAUGUUGGUCUCGGUAGAAGAAAUCUAGGGAAUUUGUUAUGGAACUCUGUAUUACUUUCAUAUGCAGCUGACUUUAAGAUGAAAAGCUUGCAGAGAGAGUUUGUUGGAAUGCUUGAUGCGGGUUUCUCUCCUGACCUUACCACCUUUAACAUUCGAGCCCUUGCGUUUUCUAGAAUGGCUCUCUUUUGGGAUCUACAUCUCACUCUUGAACAUAUGAGACAUUUAAACAUUGUUCCAGAUCUUGUGACUUUCGGAUGUGUGGUCGAUGCAUACAUGGACAGGCGACUAGCAAGAAAUUUGGAAUUUUUUUACAACCAAAUGAACUUUGACGAUUCUCCUAUUGUCUUAACUGAUCCACUUGCAUAUGAAGUACUGGGGAAAGGCGAUUUUCAUCUUAGCUCAGAAGCUGUUUUGGAGUUUAGUCCGCGGAAAAACUGGACGUAUAGAAAGCUACUCGGAGUUUACUUCAAGAAAAAGUUGCGGAGAGACCAGAUUUUCUGGAAUUACUAGUCACCUACCACCUCUUUGCUGCAAAAACGUCAUGCUUUGCUUAUUACAAUCCGGAUGGUUUGAAACAUUGAGGUUGGAGAGCCUUCUUGCAACUAUAUUUACAUUUUUAUCAUAUAUGCAUGUAUUUACAAUGUUGUUCUGUCAAAUAGAUCGGUAUAUUAGAUUAUAUUACAAAGUAUAUUUUUUUUGUGCGAACAUAUUACAUAGUAUAUGUGUUCAUUCAUUAUUGUUGAAAUGCAUACUUUGCAUAGUGACCUCCUUUUUUCAUCUUCUUUUAAUUGAUCGAUCAUUUCUAUGAUGUAUUCAAUGGUUUUUGUAUUCUUUUUGUUUCCUUGGAGAAAGAUUUUACGUAAAACUAAGAUAUUGUGAUUGUUAAAAAACGCUUAAGUGAAGUAAUCAAUAUAAAUUAUAAUAUACUGUAUUGGUUUUAUAUAAAAGUUUUUUUUCACUAUUGAGUUUAUUCAAGAUUGAAACCAGUACAUAUUACACAAAGCCAACAAAGUCCAAGACAAGACUUUCUGGAAACAAAGUCGGCAAGGGUCGAAAGCCCUCCAGAGAUAAAGCCGGCAAAUUUAAAGGAAACUCCCGGAGCCAAAAGCCCGAUUAACGGGAUACAAGAUCAAGUUGAUAAAAGACAUAAAACUAUAAAUAUUAUCAUCAUGCUUCUUUCUUCUUCAAUUAACCAGUAUUUCUAAAAUUGGAAGCUGAUUCCGACACCUCCAGAAAGCGGUCAGAAUUGAACUUCUGGUCUUAUAGUCCCCACUUCAUUUUUGGAGACUUCGAAAAUUAGAGAUCUUGAUCUACCUAAGAACGGCAAUUUACUACUAUUCAUCUUUUCUGCUCACUUUAUAUUAGCUAGUAUAGCUUUUUAAAUAUAAUUUUAUGAAAAAACUUUUGAGUAUCUAAACUUAAUAAAUUCUAUUUUGUACAACUACUACCUCUCAUUGUUAUAUAAUAUAUGAUCAUUAACAAUAUAAUUUAGCACUUUUCACUUUUUCGAAUCUAAUCACAACCAUAGUUUUAUUUCGGAAAAUUGUUUGCCAGCUACACAGACAAUUCACCAACACAUACGCACACAUGCAAACAAUUUUAAUGUUUGGCUAACUACAUAGACUAUCGACAUCACAUGAGCACAUAUCUGAACAAACAUUGGUUAUGUACGCAGCACCAUAACCAUAACUUCCAGUACCGUCCCGUUUUAAGGAACGACGAAAUCCGGUGACGUCCUUUAAUUCUGAUUAUGACCCGAUUAAGAUUUUAACCCACAAUUUUUUUAAACCGGACCAGAUUGAAUUAAGCCCAAACCGGUCCAAUUGAAAUUGCAACAUAACAAACCUAGUCUCCUCCUCUUCCUUAGUCAUUCAGGAUUUGCAAAGAAACACAAAAAAUAUCUUUCUAAUUUCUUGACGAAGAAGAACAAAUCUUCAAAAAUCUACUCUCAUUGACUGAAGCAAACGUGAAUCUCGUUACGAUGAGGUAAGUUCUCUCGUUUUAACUUGAUUUGAAUGUGAAUCGGAGAUCGAUUGUUUUCUGGGUUUGAAGGGGUUUCUGGGUUUGAAAAGGUUUCUGAGUUUAAAAGAGUUUAUCGAUUUCUUCUAAGUUUUUUUCUGGGUUUAUGAACUUUAUAUAAGAAAGUGAAAGUGGUGUCGAUUUCGAUAGUUGCUUAGUUUGAAAAAACGAUUUGUCUUUUGUUUCUUGUCGAUUUAUGUCGGGUUUUUGUCGGGUUUUUUUUUAUCAUUGUUUAAGACGACCAGUUGACUAAUGUUGAUAAAUUUUUCGUUUUUUUUAUUGUGUAGUAACGAGUCACUUGUUACAGUAAGUUGCCAUCAUUCUGGGCAUUUUAAAACGACAAAUGGUGUCUUGGAUUACGUUGAUGGAGUGCUUGAUGUUGUUGAAGUAGAUCGUGAUAUUAUAUUUGCAGAAGUGAUAUUGAAGUUGCUUGAUCUGGGAGAAUGUGGUAGAAGCUGCCAUUUGAAGACUUAGAAGAUAAACAUCCUCUUUGGGAAAAUGUGGAUGCAAAUAAAAAGAAGAUGCAAGCAGCAGGUCGUUGGAUGAGAAAGUUGGAUGUGUAUGUUGAGAAACCAAUAAUUGAGGAGCUACAGAUAGUGCCAGAGAUAGCUACAGCAGUUGAGAAUCCAAGUGAUGGAGAGAGUGACCCAGAGUAUGAACCCGAAGCGGAUAUAGAGGUGUCUGAUGAUGAUGAUUCUAAUGAUGAAGAAGCUGGUUUGUCUGACAAUGCAGAAUCAGCUGAUGAUGAUGAUGAUGAUGAGGUUGUUGAAGCGGAUUUAGAAGUUUUCAAUCAUGAGAGUUAUGAAGAACAGAUUUCAGAUGAAGAUGAAGUCUACCCUGCUACUGAUGCUUCUUCUGGUGAUGAAGAAGAACAAGCUGAGAGGUUGGUAAGAAGGAAUUUACCUGAUGGUGUGUUCAGCCUGAAACAAAUAUUUUCAAGUGGUCAAGAGUUUAAACAGAAUGUGAUUAGAUAUAUAUUGAAGACAAGGUGUAAUGUGGUGUAUGAUAGGUGGGAAAAAGAAAGACUUGAUGCUAGUUAAACCCAAAUAUUUUCAAGUUAAACCCACAUUUUGUUCCACAAAACCCAGAAACCCAGAAAUAAUAGAGAUUUCGAUUUCUGUUUCACAUAUUUACUAUCAAGAUUUCGAUUUCACAUAUUAUUCAACUCAAAAAGAUAUAUCUUACCUUGUAUCGUGAUGAGAUUCGAAUUCCUCUUAAGUAAAAUGGGAUUUUUUUUUUGCUUUACAAAUCGUGAAAGAACGAGGAAGUAAAAGAGUGUUUGUCAUGUAGACAUUUUAAUUGAACCGGGUUUGAGACAUUACAAUUUUGGUUCCGUUAAAAAUUUUAAUAUCGCCGGUCAAAUUAUUAAUUGGGUCAUAAUCGGGAUUAAAAGCCGUCACCGGAUUCCGUCGUUCUUUAAAACGGACGGGUGUCGGAAGAUAUGGUUAUGGUGCUGCGUACAUAACCAAUGUUUGUUCAGAUAUGUGCUCAUGUGAUGUCGAUAGUCUAUGUAGUUAGCCAAACAUUAAAAUUGUUUGCAUGUGUGCGUAUGUGUUGGUGAAUUGUCUGUGUAGCUGGCAAACAAUUUUCCUUUUAUUUCAGCCACUCUCAACCAUUUCUACAAUUAUAUACUUUUUAAUAAAAAAACUCACGUUUUUCCCACAUUAGUAUUAAUAUAAAUAUAUGAAUUUAUGGUUUCACAAUUUUUUUAGAUAUAUCAUUUUUCUAUCGUUUUGCAAGCACUCAUUUUUCAUCAUCUUUUAUCCGCACAACCACAUCUACCAUUCAAGAUUCUUCAUUGUAGGAUAUUUAUACUGAAUUAUGAACUAUAAUUUGCCAAAACAAUAUUAAAAAUAAAAUAAAAACAUAGGAAGAUAAACUAUAAACUUUACAUAUAUUUUUUUCUUUUCUAAAAUAUAUAUUUUGAUAAUGCGGAUGUAUUCAAUAUUCUGUUCGUUCAAUAUUUUGUUACAAAAUUUUGUACAUUCAAUAUCUAAAACUCUUCAUAAAAUAAUUAAAAUUUUAUAAUUUUCUAAUCUAUUUCAUGAAAAAUGUUACUUCAUACUGGUGCACAAUCUUAAUAAAUUUAGUGACACUAAUAUGGAUUACGUUAUGUAUUCAAAUUCUAACAAAUGAUUGAAGAUGAAAUAUCAAAAAUUUAAUUAAUAAUGAUAUUAUUUUGACAAAACAAGUUUCCAUUUCUCGUUUCUUUCAUAUAUAGAUGACUAUUAUAAUUGAAGAUAAAUUAUUAACAAAUUUUAAUUUAUAAUCAGUAAUAUGGUUAUUAUGGUCAAAGGGAGAUAAUAUGAUAGAUAUUUUCAUAUAUAUUUUUGUAUAUCUAUCAAUUAAUUUUAGAAACUAAGAACUUUACAAAAUUUUAGAUUUAAGGGACAAUUUUAAAAAUACUCCUUUUGGGGAAUAUAUUUUUAAAAAUACCCCACAAGGGAGAUCAUUUUUAAAAAUACCCCUAUUUUUGGGAAAAAAACAAAUAUACCCUUAAUGAUUUAACCUAAUUGCAAAAACUAUUUUCUCCUUCUCCAUCUUCUCUCUCGAUUCAUUCUCUCAGCAUCUCUUCCCUCUACAUAAUUUCUCUCUCCGGAUCUUUUCUCUCUCAAUCUGCUCUCUCUCCAUCAUCUCUCUCUCGAUCUGCUCUAUCUCUAUCAUCUCUCUCUCGAUCUGCUCUAUCUCUAUCAUCUCUCUCUCCAUCUGCUCUCUAUCUCUAUCAUCUCUCUCUCGAUCUGCUCUCUCUCUCCAUCAUCUCUCUCUCUCUCUCUCUCUCUCUCUCUCUCUCUCUCUCUCUCUCUCUCUCUAGCGUCGUUGUCGGUAGUUAUGGAUUUUUGAAUAUAUUGUUCAGGUUUUUGUUAAUUUGUAAAAUCUAUAUAAAUUUUGGAUAAAAUUGAAUAGAAUGCUAGUAGUUAGCCCUGAUACGGAGCCGGAUAUCCGGCAAUAAUCAUAGUAUUCGGAUCCGGAUCCGGCCGAAUUCCCAAUAUCACUAUCCGUAUCCGGCUCCAAAACCUCGGAUAUCCGAGAUCCGGAUAACCAAAAAAACACCCGAAUAUAUGCGGAUAUGCGGACAUCCGGAUCCAAUCUCAACAACAGUUAGAUCUCUUUUACUGUGACGGUUGACCCAAGCUUUGCCAAAGUAGCCAAGCUCCGCCGUAAUUAAAACUCCACCGUCAUCUUCGCCAUGAAAAAAGCUAUUAGGAAGCCAAAACCCCACGAUAUCUUAACGAGUUCAACAACCAAAUUUCUCCACACAAAAAAAACAUAUCCACCAUGUUUACUUUUACAUAUCGCCUUCAUCACCGAAAUCGUCUUGAACUCACACCAAGUCCAUUAAUUUGUCACCAAACACCAAUAGAUCUAAAUCGAAGAUGAAGGAUGAAGAAACGUUGAUUUGAGAAAAAGAUGGAGAGCCUCAAAAAGUCAAAAAGUGAUUUCACACUUCUCUCGUAAAUUUGGAGAGAGAAACUGAAGUUAAUUGAGCUUUUUUAUUUUUUUGGUCUUAUAAUUCAAUUGGGCUUUUUAAGUGGUUUAGUAACAAAUUAAACACAAUUUAAUUAUAAAACCGGAUCCGGAUAUCCAGUUUUGAAAUUUCUUAGUAUCCGGAUCCGGACGGAUAUGUAAAUCAACUAUCCGGAUCCGGCUCUGCCCGUCCUGGAUAUCUGGUUUUUCGGAUCAAAUUGAGACGGAUACCGGAUGUCGGAUAAUAAGUCUCAGAGCUACUAGUAGUUAUAGAUUCAUUAGGGUAUAGUGAUUUUCAAGUCUUUGUUAAUUAGGGUAUAGUCUGAAAUGUAGAUUUGUUUCAUAAUCUUUAGUGUACCAAACAAAUUUUUUUUUUUGUUGUUGCUUGAUUACAUUAUGUUUUGUUUUGCUAAAUUAAUGUUAAUGAGCUUAUUUUGGGGUUGUGAAGGAUUGAAUUAAUGUGACUUGCCACUGAAAUAAAGAAUGUUCAUCGUUCUCCAAAAUUUUUGAAAGGGUUUCAAAUAAUUUUACAGGCCUUUUAAAAAACUUUUAAAAAGGUUUUAAAAAGCUUUUGAAAGGGUUUUAAAAUGGAUUUAAAAGGGUUUUAAAAGUAAUUAUAAAGGGUUGUAUAUAUAUCUGGUUGUUUUUUUUUGUGACAUUAUGAGAAAGUGUAUCAAACAAUUUGGAGUUUGUAGUUUGAUGUUGAUGACUGUAAAUCUUUCACAAGGAUUUUAUAUACCCUUGUUUGGUUCCAGUUUUGAGGUGGGCGAUUUGAGGUGUGAGAAUUGUAGCUGUCGAGGUUGUUUCUUCACAAGGUUUCAGCUGGAAAAAUAGUUAUUGGUGGUGAUUGCUUGCAUUUGUAAAAGGUUGUGGUGUGGAGCUGCAGUGGUGCUUGUACCCAUCCACGUUUUUGGCUUUACGAUUAUAUAGUUAUCCUCUUUUUUUAUUUCUAUGUAGAUAUAUAUGUAUGUGGUUAAGAUCUUGGUAAAUAAUAUUAUAAUUAUGAUGCUACACAUAAAAUACAAGUGGAGAAAUUUGAUUUUUUUAUGCUACAGUUUUGUGGGUGGUGAAUGGACAUGUGAAAUGAGACUUGCGGAAGAUUUUCAAGUGGAGGAGAAGAAAUGGAGCUAAGCAAUAGAUUACUGCCUUGUCAUGGUUCCAGUUUUGACUUGUGGAGUAAUGCCUUGUUUGAGUAUUACGUAACCAUUAAUCUACUAAUGUAAAUUAGUUAGUGCUGGAACCUUUUGAUCAGAGCUCUCACAAGAGCAAUAUGUUGGCUUACUUUUCAUAACAUUGGGUUUUUCAAACUCGUAAACAAGAAUUUCCCAAGAAAGAAAAUUCUAAUCGCCUAAUACAAUCAAUUCUUAUAUACAAAAAGCUAUUCACUCUAUGUAUUUACUUCUCCUUAUUCACGUGCUAUUCCUUCAUUUUGUAUCAUAUAAAACCUUAUAAAAACCAUAUAAAACCUUUAUAAAAACAUUUCAAACGUUUUAAAAUCAUUUUAUAACCUUUGAAAUUCCAUAUAAAAUCUUUGUAGACAUUUUAAACCUUAAAUUCUUAAGACUAGAAGUAUUUAAAAGGGUUUAUACAAUGAUUGAUAAUUCAUAAGGUUUUACAAUUCUUUUAUAAAGAGUUUAUAAGGUUUUUAUAAGAGUUUUAAAAGGUUUUUAUAACGAUUUUAUAAGGGUUUUAAAAGGUUUUUGAAAACUAUCUGUUUACAUAGUAUUUAAAAGAUUUUGUAAGGUUUUAAAAGGUUUCUAAAAACUAUUUAAGGGUUAUAUGGUUUUUAAGAGGUUUUUAAAAAGUAUUUAAAAGGUUUUAUAAGGUUUUUAUAAAAGGUUUCUAAAAACUAUUUAAGGGUUAUAAGGUUUUUAACAGGUAUUUAAAAAGUAUUUAAAAUGUUUUAUAAGGUUUUUAUAAAGCUUUGAUGAGGUUUUUAUAAAGCUUUUAUAAGGUUUUUAAAAGGUUUUUAAAAAGUAUUUAAAAGGUUUUUCAAAAGUAUUUAAAAGGUUUUAAAACAUAUUUAAAAGGUUUUUAAAAAGUAAUAAAAGGUUUUACAAAGUAUUUAAAAGGUUUUUAAAUGUAAAUUAAGAUUUUAAAGCUAUUUAAAACGUUUUACAUGGCUUUUAUAAGUUUUUAAAAGUAUUUAAAAGGUUUUGAAAAAUAUUUAAAAGGUUUUGAAAGUACUUAAAAGGUUGUACAACGUAUUUAAAUUGAUUUACAAAGUGUUUAAAUGUAUAUUAAAGUUUUUAUAAGUAUUUACAAGGCUUUUAUAAAGUUUCUAUAAGGUUUAAUAAAAUAAAUUCUUUUAAAAAAUUUAAGAAACCUUUUAAAAACUUUAUAAAAGCCUUAUUAAAACCUUAUAAAAACAUGAAUUAACGGUGUAGUAACUUUAAGCUCUGAUAUAUGUAGACACUGUUAUUUUUCUAAAAUACAACAGGCGGUUACGUUACAUUAGUUACUAUAUUAUGAUCAAUACACACACAAAGACUUGGUCUUGCUUUUUAAAUAUGGAUGAAUAUUAUAAUCCUGAACUUCAGUCCUUCUACAAACUCUCACAUGACUGCAGCUCUUGGAUCAUCAUUGUUUGGUCUUUUCACACAUAGCAUUUUCAAACAAGCUCCUAAUUUUGUUGCACGCCGUAUCCCACCUUCAACAAUACCAAAUUGAACCACAUCAUUAAACAACAUUCAUGAGUUGGAUCCAACAUUAUUCAAAAGCGAAUGGAUUUGUGUUCUUUGCAAUUACAACUUUAAUUUAAUUUUAACAACGAAUGCAUUACCUCAAUGCACGUCAAGAUCUUGACUGUUACAAUCCAUCAUAUAUCCACCACGAAACAAACUCAUAUAAGUUACAAAAGAGAAACAACAUAUAACAAGUUAAGGGGGGCAGUAGAUGAUGAUGAGUCUAAGGAGAGGACAGCACCAGACCACUUAAUCUUGGCCGAAAGCUCCCAUUCGUCGCCUUCCAAGCGUGUCGCAAUGGAAAACUCAGCAUACCAAAGCUCCAAAAUCUGAUUAGGACCUUAGGGUCAUGCUUCCCAGAAGAUGGCCAUCCUCUCAUGAGUGUUGCUACUGCAGCUCUUCCAAACCCUUGACUUCCUAGUAAUAUACAAUAUACAAAGUCCCACAUGAACAUAACUAUAUAUCUCCCUUACAGCCCAAACAUGAUGAUAACACGUUCUCUAUGUUUGAUUGCCAAAGUUCAGCUCACUAACUACUAAACUCUAACCAAAUUAUGACGUUUAAGGCUUAUAUUAUGAGUGUUCCAUCACUGAUUAUUUAAAUAAACUAAAUAUUUGGCUGUCUGAAUACGAUUGUAUGAUAAAAAUUCAACAUGUUUUUUAUAUAUGUUGCAAUUUGAAUUUUUUUAAACGGAUAUAUAUUACUCAGUUGACAAAAAAAACUGUAUAUACAGUGUCCUACAUCGGUCAAAAAAGUUUUUUUGAUAAUAGUUCAUAUCAUUAUAAAUAAGACGAAUGAGCAGUAGGCUUGAUUUAUUAGGUAUCCAAAUUAAAAACUUUUAUUUCAUAUAAUCCGGUUUUAAGUUUGAGUAAAUUAAAACUUUUAAAUUUUUUAAAAUAUUAUAAUAGAUAAAAAUUUAAAAUGUUUCAAUAUUAUAAAUAUUAAAAAAUUUAAAAUUUAUUAAAGUUUCAAAUAUAAUUUUUAAUCUUUAUAAAAUUAAAAUAGCAUAAUAUUGAAACUUUUAAAAGCUUCAUAUAGUAUAAAUAUUAAAAAAAUAAAAUGAUUCAGAUAUUAUAAUUAUAUAAAAUAAUUGAUAAUUUUGCCACGGGUGAGAACAUAUAUUAAAUCAUUGAUAAUUGGGGGAUUUGCACAACUAAUCUUUUUAUGAUACCCUUUUCUACAAGUACCCUCUCCAGGUGUUCAUUUUCAAAAAUACUCUCUUCAAUGUACAAAAUGACUUACCCUCCUUUAUUAUAACCCAUGAUGAAGAAAAGAAUAUUCUUUCCAACAAAAAGAAUAUUCCUUCCGAAAAAUUUCCCGCCAAAAAUUUUCCCGCUAAAAAUUUCCGACAAAAAUUUUCCCGCCAAAUUUUUUCCGCAAUUCCUUUAAAAAACUUUGUCAAUAUUUUUAAAUCCCUUAAAAAAUCCUUUAAAACCCUUGUAAAUCUUUUAAAAGUCAUCCAAAACCUUUCAAAACUUGAGUAAACCUUUUAAAACCAUUGUAAAUCAUUUUAUAACAUUUAUAAACACUUGUAAAUCCCUUUAAACCCCUUAUAACCGUGAUAAAUCAUUUAAUAAAAACUUUUGUAAACUUCUAAAACCUUUAAAACCCCUUGUUAAUCCUUAAAAACCAUUUUAAAGAACUUGUAAUACCUUUAAAAACUUUUGUAAACCCUUCAAAAACCUUUUUAAACUUCUAAAACCCUUUAAAACUUCUUGUAAAUCCUUUAAAACUAUUUUUAAAUCUUUGUAUGCCUUUAAAUACACUUUUAAAUCCUUUUAAAAACACUUGUAAAUCCUUUUCAAAAACCUUUAAAAAUCCUUGUAAAUCUUUUUAAAACUGUUAUAAACUUAAAAAAAAAUUAAAAACAAUUGUAAAUCAUUUAAAAACCAUUUAAAAACCUUUGUAAGCUUCUAAAACCCUUUAAAAACCAUUACAAAUCUUUUAAAAACCAUUUAAAAACUCUUGUAAAUCCCUUUAAAAACCCUUUAAAAAAAUUUGGCGGGAAAAUUUUUGAAAAAAUAUUUUUUUGUGGGAAAAUAUUUGCGGAAAUGUUUUUGGCGGGAAAAUUUGGCGGAAAGUUUUUGGCGGGAAAUUUUUGGGGAAAAUUUUUUUGGAAGAAAUAUUCCUUCCUUUGGGAAUGAAUAUUCUUUCAAAUAGGGGUAAAAUAACCAAAUUCCUUGGAUGAUUCGAUUCCCCAAGGGUAACGGUGAGUGUCUUUUGUUCAACCCUGAAAAAAAAGACAAGAUGUACAAAAUACCAAAUCUCGGCAACGAUUUCACCAAGAACGUUUGUGUGGCGACUUAUAAAAGCUGGCUUCUGAUGCAACCAAAAUACAAACACAUAGAUGAAGACUGUAGAUUGAAUCUAUAUAUUCUAGAUCUUUUAACCCGCGAGAGAAUCAAUCUACCGACCUUCGUAUCAGGGUGUGGACUCAUAUGUUCAAUACUUUGGAUCGAUGAGAAAACCAAAGAUCACCUAGUUAUUGGAAUGUCCGAAGAAGAUCAUGCCAUUUCUUUCAAGAGAGGAGACAAGUCGUGGAAAAAAAAUCCCAACCUUGUCAGGUAUCGAAUGUUUUAGCAUGGUUUUCAAGGAUCAGAAGCUCUAUUGUCUCAACUAUGCUAAACUCAAGGUCUUCGAUUUUUCUGGAUAUACUCCGCUCAGAGUUUUCAAAACCAGCGUAAGUGACUUCUUACAACCACUUAGACCUUUUGGCAUGAGGAUGCCUGGAACUUCAUGGAAGGACAACGUGGUUCACUCAAAGAAUAAAGUAGUUGUCACGCUAGCCAGAGAUGUCUUAAUCGUUAAGUGUCGUCGUCCGAAUGUGUCCAAAAUAUGGGAGUUUAAAAUCUACAAGAUGGUUGGGAACAACCAGUGGGAGGAAAUUUAUUCUUUGGGAGGCGAGACCAUUCUUUUGGAUUUGGGUAUCACACUGCUCGCCAAGGACAUGCAGGGAAUCCAGAAGAAUUCCAUCUACUUCUCCAUGGAUACUAUCCUUUUCGAAGAUCAAUAUGACAAAACCGAAAUCUUCAUAUUUGUAACAACCCAUCCCGGUGGGAACCCUUGCCACAUGGCACACCCCGCCACAUGGCAGCUACAAGCGCUGCAGCGCAUCGACCCUAACCUCUCUCCUGUGGACCCAAUUGGUAACAGCUUGUCCGAUGGGAAGGUUGUUAAAAGGUGAGGACCUGGGUUCGAGGAACGCCAGGCGCACCAAUAACCUACCUGGUGGGUCAGGAGUGUAUGUGAGCCAGGAGAGUGCCUACAUGCUCAGAUUGGGCCCACAGGAGAGAGGUUAGGGUCGAUGCGCUGCAGCGCUGUAGGGAUGCCAUGUGGCGGGGUGUGCCAUGUGGUGGAAUCCACUGGACGGGUUGUUACAAUAUUCAACCUCUAUUCAAAACAAGUUCAACUACCUCACCGUUCUGUUUGCUCUUCCUUUCCCUGCUCUAGAUCCCGAUGGUUCUUGCCAUGUUUCAAACAAGAAUGAAUAAUUCUACUUAAUAUGUAUAUUAAUUGUUGCAACAUUUGGUAUUAUUUCCUUUUCUCUUUUUGUGAGGGUUUUGGACUCAUUUGCUAAGACUUGUUUAGCCCAAAACAGGACUUCAUCAACAUAAUAAAUUAAUAGCUAUUACAUUUUUUAAAUAUCUAAGUUUGAUAUUCAUAUCUCAUCAAGCAUAAUGCGGUUGUCAAGGUGGACAACGUGUGCUUUACAAACAAAGCAAUUUGAAUAUCAAUGUUUUAGGCUCCCACAAAUUUUUCUGUUGUGUAAAAUUGACUCUAACUAAGAAUUUUACGCUAAUUUGACAACAAUAUUGGUAGAAAAUAACAUCAUGAGUGUAUAAAGUGCGAGAGUUUCUUAGUAUAAUUUUAAAAUGAUUUCAGAUUCUAAGGUUAAGAGAAGGUCCCAUAAAAAAAAAGCUAGGCCACUUGCUUGUCAGCUCUUUUAGGUAAUUCCCUACUUCAAAUCGACCUGACACACGAAGAUUUGGUAGCAUCAAGUGAAUGACUUCAAACAAGACUAAUUUUGCAAGAAAAGGGAUCACGAAGGAGGAGAUAUGUAUGCUGAUUCCAUUCUCUGUCGAGAAAAAUGAUCUCAUCAACUACUUCAACGUUAUCAAAUCCCCGGAUGAACUUCAGAUUGUUUAUUGUUCCCUCUUUCUUCUCGGAAUAGAUUGACAUUCUAUAUUUUCAGAACCGGAUAAUAAUAAAACUCAAAGACUUGUAAUCAGAGUGAUCAAUGAAAUGUCGGUAGACAAAUCAAAUUUAUAAUUUCGACAUGACUAACUUCAUAAAUAAGUUUGGACACGUAGUACUCUAUCCAGCAAAAACCAGGCACUAAAAAAUUAGUUGAAUUUUAUACUAGUACGUACGUUAGAAAUUGAAGUGGUUGUAUUUCAUUAACAUACGAUCUUUACAAGUUACAAUCCAUAUUUAUUUUUGUACAAUAUUUCUUAUUAGCUACUGUUAGACUUAUUCUUCUUUAUGCUACUGCCGCAGUUACGAACCCUAUACAAGGUUUUUUUAUGUCUUCGCAAUCGAAGACCGUAUGAUACUUCGUGAUGAAAGGUAAACCGAGAAACCUACAUGCCAAUCCAUUUUAGAGACACAUGCAAAUACAAAAAGAUUAACGCAAACAAAAAAAACUUACCAGCGAGAACCACCUUCAGUAUCCUCCACAAAUCUAGUAAAGCACACGUCGUUGUCAAUUGCGAUGUACUAAAUGGCAUUAGAGUAAAGAAGAUACAUUAACAAAUGAACCAAUAACAAAGGAAAAAAAUUUAAAAAUAUAUAUCAUACAUCUUGUGGGGUGAGUGAAAAAGGCUUUUCCCAAUUGUAAAUAUUAUCACGGGUAAGGAACUAAUGGUGGAGCAUAGAACAAUUCCACCAUUAGCGAAUGCUCCAAUUGCUCUAUUUAUUUCCCUUGUACCCCGCUGAAUAUUAUAAACACAGAAAAAACAUAGUUUAUUUUGAAAUGAAUGAAAACUGAUGAUACAAGUUGACAACCUAUAUUCACUAUAAUUCAGUUUUCUUACCUCCGGACCUAUAAUAUCCGUCAUCCCCGAGUCGAUAAUUGCUGUACACUGUACUUUACAGUUUUUAACAUAAUUACCCCACCAUUUGAUGUCAACCAAAAAGAAAAUAUACAUUUUGUAUAAAAUCUUGUCCCUCAAUUUGGAUGCCACCAAACCGAACAUUAUCUUGCGAUAAAUCACCCUGUACUUGACCGUUAUGAUAUGUCAUUGUCACAGUUUUUCCUACACAGUUGAGAGAUUUAUCUAAGUUGAAUGUACAUAACAAAGUCAAAGAGACAAAAGAAAGGGAUAAAAUAUUACUGAUAGAUUUGAUGAUAUCUGAUUCCAAGGCAUCAAAAGUAGGAUGCCCUUUAAAAGGCCACCACGCUGAAGGGACCCAGAAAUUGAUGGAUCCUAGAUAAAAAAACUACCUUAAAUAAUUGGCCAGGAUUUCCAACAUUUAUAUGUCCAUAGAAGAUUACCUCACGGUAAUUUGUUAAACCCACAACUUUGGGUAUAGCGUUCAUUUGUUGUUUGAGGGUUUUAGUGACCGUAUGAUUACAUAAAACGAAGCCUUGGAACAAUGAUAGGAGAAUAAAAUAGAGAAAAUGCAUUUUUGUCGAGAAAAAACUCUUUAUAAUAGAAAUCGGUUACAAUAUAAAUUAUUGUGAUGAAAACAAAUAAAAGCGUGAUAUAUAUAUAGCGCAAUAUUAAUAUUAUUUAUAUAAUCAAAUGUAAACAACACAUGCCCUGUGUGUUGAGCAGAACCGGCGUUUAGGUGAGCAAGUAAAACAUGUGUGCUUGCGAACACUUUUAUAAUGUGUAAACUUUCGGCAUAUGUAUUACAAAAUUUGGUUUACUUCAGUUGGUAGCGUCCAUAAAAAUUCUACUUAUGGUAUAUUUUACACAUUUUUAAAACCUUUCCAAUACUUUUUUAGAUUAGAAUUAGACUAUUAAAAUCCACCGACCAAUAACACCUUAAGGUAUUCAAAUUGUUUUUGAGCUUGCGGCCUAUUUUGCUAACAAACCAUCCUUACCAUAAAAAGUAAUGAUUAACACAUUCACACAAUCUUUGAAGGCAAGAAUCACCACAAGAAAACAAGGUGAUAACCUACUAAUUUUCCUACCAAAACUAUGGUAGGAUACAGUUCCUACCAUAUACUUACAAGUUUUUUUUACGGAAAGCGCAUGUCGUAGGAAAUUGGAAGUAAAUUUCCUACGAAAAUAUUUUGUAAGCAAUUCGUAUGAAAUUUCCUUCAAAAAUCCUUCUCAAAUUAUAGUCGUAGGAGUUUUCGGAAGAACUUUGAAAGAAUUUGAUAGAAAAUUACGUGGUAAGAAUUCGGUAAGAAUGAUUUUGAAUGAAUAUCUUAGGAAAUUAGUAAGAAAUAUUUCCUACUAGAUGGGUGACCGCAACUUUUAACUAGAAAUCUAAAGGAUAUAGGUUUAUCAGGUUAUCCUAUAUCAUUAUAUCCAUCGUAUUUAACAUAACUAUCUAUACAUAGAUAAUGCUAUUUAAACAUGGUUAUGUUAGGUUUAUUCAAGGAGUAUUACAUAACACAUAGAUAAUGCUAAAUAGAAUAAUCCCCUAACAGGAUUUUUAUGUAAUACUCAUCACUACUUUAAUAUGAUCUUCGCAAAUUAUUGUAUUACAUAGAUAAUGCAAUAUUGAAAGAAUACUUACAUUGUGGUACGUUAUGGAAAUAGCUAAGCUAUUACGUAAUACAUCACUCACAUAUUAUGUAUUAUAGAUGAGUUUACCAAUGGAUUAUCUAUGUAUUUAUUCAGCUUAUAGAUUUAUAGAUGGAUUGUCUAUAGAUUUAUAGAUGUAUUGACGAUGGAUUUAUAGAUGUAGCAUAAUAUAAAUGUUACCACAGCCAAUAAACUCCUUGAUCUAAAUAUAAUACCAAAUUAUAAAUAACUAUAAUAUUUAUAGAUGUAAAUAAACUUACAUCGCUACGAAAUUGUCGACCUCGGGAAUCUUUGGAUUGAGUCUUAUUUGGGUACAAAUGGUGUUAGACACAAUUCUUUUUCCUAUAAUAAGAAUAACAAUCUUUAAAUAUAUAAAAUAACAAAUAUACUAAACUAUCUUAGAUAAAACAUGUUAACUAAAGAAUAAUCUCAUGAACAUGUACCUUGGAAAAUGUCUACCUCUCCCCAUCGAAUCACACAAAUCAGACUUUGGUUUCGUAAAGCUUUGUAGGCCUUAAAGAAGUUGACGGCGGAUGAUCCAGUCAACCCACAUCGUAAAAUGACUCCACUAUAUUGGCAAGAUCAAAAAUAAACAUUAAGUAUAUAUAACCAUACCAAAUAUAUUUGAAAUGAAAACGAACUAUAGUAAACAUUUGCAUAGUUAGAAACAAAUACCUAGUGUUUCGAAGAUCAAAACAAAUCUUAUGGUGUAUAGAAUAAUCUUUUUUUGUCAUCGGCCUCUUCGUCGACAUUUUGAUUACCAAUAUCCUCUUCUUCUUGGUCGUCAUCUUCAUUAGAUUCACUUGCAUUAUAUUCCUCAUCACCAUCUGUUUCUUCUUGUGUAUCAUUAUAACCAAGAUCAUCUUCCUAGCUAUCACCCUCAUCAUAUCAAUCAGUUUCAGUUUCUGAUUCAUCACUUUCAUGUUCUUCUUCUUCAGUAUUAUCACCGUCGCCGUAUCCAUCACUCCCAUAUUCAUCAUUUUCUGUAUCAAUUAUCUCAUAAAAACCUUCAUCUUCUUCAUCCUCUUAUUCGUCCUCUUGCUCAUAGUCCUCAUCCAUUGCAUCUCCUUCGUCGUCAAUAUCAUCAGUGUACAUACUAUCGUCGUCAGAAUCUUCGAUUUCAGAAUCAUAAAGACGACCACGUUGGAAGUGAAUCCCUCGUUGGACGGUGCAUCUCGGCAAAUAAACUUAAACAGGUGACGAACAUAAACGGAACUUGAUUUAGACACAGCUUGAACGCGAUUCUUCUGCUCAUUGUCGUUGUCUACAUGGUCCCAAGUAUCAAACUUUCCUACGUGUAUAACCUCUCCAAUGACAUCUAAAAUAAAUAAAAAAUAAUCAGUUUGAAUACAAAUCCUAAUCUAAACUAAUUUAGGAAGUAUACGCAAAUUAUAUUUUUAGUAAACCUUAAAACACAAUGUUUAAGUAACUUACCAACCAAGUAAUCAUCACAAUGAGAACCAUCCAAUAUAUGUUUAUAAUCCAUAAAAUCAAAAUACUCUCCACCUCCAACCAAUCAUGGCCUUCUUAAUCAUGGUUUGACACAUAAUAAUAACUUUGUAUCGAUGAGUAGUAGUUUUGCAAGACCCAUAUUGAUCCACGACUUUGAAAUUCUCGAUUUCAAGCCAAUCACCAACAAUAUACUUGGAAAUAAAUCUAUCAUAAAGAAUACCACGGAAAGAACAAUGGACUUUUUCACCCUACAAAAGUUGAUAUUAUGGUUAAGAAAGAUUAUAGUAUGUAAUCGUAAAAUUUAAGAAUUUUAAGUUUUACUAAAAUAAUUUUUAAAAACGCAUGUUACUUAGAAAACAUUCAAACCUGAAUAUCAACUAACACCAUCUCCAAACUUGGUCCAAGUUUUAAACAAUUCUCCUCCCAUAAGCAUAACACUUUCACCUGAAUUUUCCAGUCAUAUUUCGAAGGAUUCAAACGUGAUGCACCAUCAACAGGAUGAUUCUUCACCAUAAUGAAACCUGAAUAACCAUAGAAACAGAUUAGUUUAGCUAUUGAAACUAUGAAUAUAAAAAAAAUUAUUAAAAAGUUGAGUAAUGAAGGUAAAACCUAACCCUAAUAAAUCGUCCGAUGUAUGAAAGUUUGGACAAUGAAUGGUCAAAUAUAUAUACACAUAUACUCGUUAAAUUUGUAUAUAAUUAUCGUUAUGAAUAAUGUCCUUUAUUAAUAUGGACAUUAAUCUUUAACUUAUACAAAUCUUUUAUUUUUAUAAUCUGCUCGUCCUAUAUUUAUCAUUAUAAUUUUUAUAAUCUGCUCGUCUAUAUUUAUCAUUAUAAAUAUGUAAAAUUUAUAUUUAUCUUAGUCUAAACUUUUUAAAAACAAUUAAGAUAAUUUCAAACUGUGUAUAAAUAAAUAAGCAAAUAUAUAGUAUAUGUAAUACGUAUUAUUGUGAAAUUUCCUAUACUGAACCACUAAUUACUAACAUAUUUAUCGUUUUAAAUCAUUAUAUGUACAUAUAAAUUUCUGAUAUAUAUCGGAUAUAGAUUUUGUACAUAUUUACUAACUUGGAUGUAUACAAUUAAUAUAUAAAUAUUUUUUUUAUUUCUGGGGGUAAACUUAUGUAGGCUAAUCAAGAUAUUUAUCUCUAUCCUUAUCAUAUUUUGUAAACUAACCCUUAAUAUUUACAUUCCAUCGUCAAUAUUUUAUAAUUUUAAACCAGUGUUUAUUUAUUAAGCUACACACUUAUUGUCGGGAAAACGGGGAAAAUCAAUCCAAACUAUUUCUCGAAGGUAUUUUCAUACCCAAACUCACGUACUCUGAAUUUUACAACCCAAACCAGCUUUUAAUUCAAAUAUUCCACCUGAACCACAUCAAAUUUUGUCGAUUUCAAACUCGACGUUAACAGUAUCUCUGCCCAUCUUGAAGAUUUGGAAAAUCAAGCUUAAGCUUAUGUAAAAACCAAGAGAAAUUAAGCUUUGAAUUACCAUUAGACCAAAUAAUAUAUAAAAAAAGAUGAGGUAUUAAACAUCCAAAUAAAAAAUAGAUGGGGUAUUUUAAAUCUUUUUUCCCUUUACGCCCUUUAUUUUUUAACAGGCAAAACCAGCAUCCACCAACUUGUUUAGUUUAUUGUUUAUCAAUCUCUAUUUAUAAAUACCACUUCCUUGCAUCUCUUUCUCAUAUCUAAAUCAAAUAUUACAAAGUAUAUAUAAAAACUACUUUACAACAAAAAGGUUUUCUUGUGUUAUAAAUUGUAUUGCUUAGUUAGCUUUUUCAUUGCAUGUUAGUUAAGUUAAUCUCGUAAAAAAAAAAUGAUGACCGUUGUAAUAAUUAUUGGGAAAAAUGUCAGUUAAAUCACGAACUUUCAAAUUUUGGCCAUUUAAAUCACGAACUUUCUAUAUGGCCAUUUAAAACAUGAACGUUUCGUUAACUUAUUUUUUAAAACACCAUCUUUCGUUGACCAGGCCGAAAUGAACACCAUAUCCUCAAAUUCGUUGACAAAGCAGCUAACCAUCGUUAAUCAUAUUUGUUAGUGAGAAAAACGUCGUUUAAUUCUAAAACGAUAUCUCAAAAUCGUGAUUCUAACGUCAUAAUCCAAAAAUCAAAUCCCUACUUUCUCACUUUGUUUUAGCCUUAAACGACGUAGUCUCUUACUAAUAGAGAUGAAUUAGUGAUGGCUAAAUGUUUGUUAGUUGUUUUGUAACAAAUUUUUGGUUAUGAUGUACAAUUUGGCUUUGUUAACGAAAGAUGAUGGUUUAAAAACUAAGUUCACAAAAUAAUCAUGCUUUAAAUGGCCACAUAGAAAGUUCGUGAUUUAAAUGGCCAAAAUUUGAAAGUUCAUGAUUUAAAUGACAUUUUUCCCGUUCCUAAUUCUAGACACUUUCCCUUUUUCUAAUAUAAUCCUCUACUCUUAAUGAAUACCCAAGUUUUCCCUUACCAAACCGAUUCAAACCGAUUCAUCAAACCAAUUUUUAAUUAAAUUAAUUAUUAAAAAAAUCCAAAAUUGCUGCUGUCAAAACAAACAAAAAAAACUUCAAAAUCGGUUCCAUCGUCGCUUCUUCCUCCCCAGUCUUUCACCAUUAAAACUCAAGCUUAAAUCUUUAAAUCAUAUCUUUUCUUUUUCCUAUUACUUUUAGCUUAAAUCUCCUUUAAUUAGAUUUGAAACUUGUGUUGACAAUUAAUGGACAUUGACUUGAUAAUCAUCUAUUAUGGGUCGAUUAAGGUACUACUGGUAUUUUACUAUGUGCUAGUUUAGUUUUAGUUCUAUCCUUUUUAGAAAAAACAGAGACUAACCUUCCGAAAGCAUUAAAGAUAGUCUGAGAGAAACUUGGAUAGUUAGUUUCAGAACCAAGAUAAGUUUCAAGAUCAGUGUAUUUAAUUAAUAUAUAUGUACUUUAUGUUUUUGUAUAACUUGGUAAAACUCGGUCUUGUAAUGGUACAACUACGUAUGUCUUUGCUCGUAUUCAGUUUGUAAAAUGUUGUACAACUAACGGUACAACUACGACCCAUUUCUUAAAAAUUCAUAGGUACUUUAUAAAUAGAUUUUUUGGAAAAUGUUAAUAAUCUUUCAUAUUGACUUUAUUAAUUGAAAUUUGUGUGACAAAUCUUCUAAAAUAGCAUCAAAAGAAAAGAAAAAAAGAAGAAGAUAGUGUUCAUUAAAUUCAUUUGUAUACAAGAAAGACCUUAUAGUUUUAAGAUGACUAUCUUAUUGUUAACUCAAUUACAUUGCAAACACACACAAAAGUAAGGUUUUGAUUCAUAUUUUUGCAUAAAGAUAUGGGGAAUGUAAUAAAAAUAAGUAAAAUCUUCGGUCCAACUACAAAGGUUUUGUUUGAAUAAAAGUAUAACUGAUUAUACUUAAAAAUCUUAAAAAAUACAACUAUAUAAAAGAGAGUACAACUUGGAAACUAGGAACAACUAUGUUCAUUUCUGCGGUGCCAAGUGUCAUGUUUGGCGACUCCAUGUGUUUUAGUGCAGUUUAUACGAAAACCACAAUUUGAGAUCCGAUUUCAGAUCUUGUGAUUGUUUUUUUUUUUUUUUUCUGUAAACCACAAUUUUAUUAAUGAAAAAAAAACAUAAUUAGCCACCAUUACAGGAGAAAGACAGCAUAAGACCUGCUACAAAAUACACAUCACUAAAGGCUGAAGAGGCUGCAAACACAUAAGCAAAAUUCUUCCUGGCUCAACGGUGACUUCAAGUGACUUCCAAGGUUUUGUAAAGAGCUGAGAAUCCAACGACAAGUGCAAAACCAAAAUGUAUUCCUUCCACGCCAACAAGAGGGUGUUCUUCCGUAAAGAGGUAGUCUUCGCCAUGAUAUCUUCUGCUUCCCAUGUAAGGGUUCUAGAACGAUAAGCGAUAGAGCUCACCCGCAAGGGAACUUCAAGGAUUUUAGAAGAAAUCAUGUCCAAACAAGAUGCUACAUCGAGUCCACCAACACCAAUUCUAAAGAGGUGUUGGUGUGACGAAGGAAUUACUGAAAAUAUCUAUAUACGAUCAUACAAUCCAUAUUAAGUUGUACCAAGUUUUACGAAGUUGUAUUUUUUAGUUUUAAAAACUUUUAAGUUACAAAAUCAACAUAGUUAUACCAAGUUAUACAUAGUUAUAUACGGUUAAGAGAUUUAUUGUUGAAUCCCCAUUAGACGGCUUUGUUUCUUCAUAAUCAACUGGAAUUGGUGACUACUGUUCUUCUUCAUCGAAAACUUAUAUUGCAUCUGAAGGAUUGUGGUCUCCAAGUUCACUCGGGUUAUUUGUAAAAACCUAUAAACCAAUCAAUUUCCUCAUCAAAAUCUUACAAUCUACAUUUCGGUGUACCAAGUAUUACCAAGUUGUAUCUUUUGGUUUGAGUAUUUUUUUUUAAAAAACGGGAAUAAUUGAACCAAGUUGUACUUCGUUGUGCACGGUUUUGAGAACAAAAUUUCUUAAACUUAAAUCGAACAGAAGAAAUCGAUAUGAAGUUAUACAAAUUUGGAGUUGUUUAUAACUUUAUCCAUAUAUGAGGAAAAGACAAAUUUGGGUUUCUAUAUUGUGCGAAAGAGAAGAAGAUUCGAAAUCUAGAAAAUUCAAAAAAAAAAAAUUGUUAAUGGCUUAAGAUAAAUUCAACCCAGAAACAAUGGGGAAAAAGCUUUAAAAUACCUCAUUUAUUUUUUAUUUGGACGUUAAAUACCUGAUCUUUUUAGGUUAGAAAAAUAAUAUCCAAAAUAAUAAAAACGUGGAAUUUAAUACCUAAACUAUUAAAUAUUAACAUUUUCCUACCUACGAUCUGUCAACAAAAAAAUAUUCCAAUUUUACCCUUCUUCAUUUACAUUUAUUAUUAAUGCAUAAAUGACAUAUAAUUAAUUACAAUUUUAUUAGAAAACAAAUAUUUGCUAGUAAUAUUUCAUUGUAUCAUUAAUUUAUAGAUUUUAUUCAAAAUAUAUAUUUCAUUUUUCAUUUUUAUCCAAACAAUAUUAAGUGAUUCAAUGAAAGGUUUAUUUUAAGUUAUAUGUUUCAUAUCCAAAAUAUAUAUUUCAUUUUGUAUCCAAAUAUAUUUUAUUAAGAAAUCUAAUGAAAGAUAUAUAUAUAUAUAUACAUAUACAUAUAUAUUGAAUUAUACAUUUCAUUUCCAAAAAUGAUAUGUAUAUUUCAUAUUUCAUUUUUAUCUAAAACUUUUUAAGAGAUCCAAUGAAAGAUAUAUUUUGAAUUGUAUAUUUUAUAUCCAAAAAUUGUAUUAUAUUUUUAUCCAAAACUUUUAAGAGAUCCAACGAAACAUAUAUUUUGAAUUAUAUAUUUCAUAUCGAAAAAUGAAUAUUGAAGUAUGAAAUAUAUAUUUUUAAUUAAAGAUAUAAAGAAAUAUUACAAUGAAAUAGUAAAGUAAAAUAUAGUCUUUUAUGCAUUAAUAAUAAAUAGAAGUGAAUAGGUUUAAAAUUGGAAUAUAUAUUUUGUUGAGAAAUCGUAAGUAGAGAAAUGACAAUAUUUAAUAUUUGAAGUAUUAAAUUGUACGAUUUUAUUAUUUUGAGUAUUAUUCUUCUAACCUAAAAAAAUCAGGUAUUAAACGUCCAAAUAAAAAAUAGAUUAGGUAUUUUUAAGUUUUUUUCCCCAGAAACAAUGGGUUCGGGUAAUUAAAGAACCAAUUAGAUUGGUUGGAUCGUACAUACUAUAUACUUUUAAGGGUUAUAACGUCAUUCUUCUAUUUUCUGAUUUAAAAUAAAUAAAAACUAAAUUAGUUUUUAGAAAAAGAGUAGUUGAGAUUUUUUUGGGGGAAUAUUAUCUAAAAUGCCAGUUUUACACCCUAAAAAAUUGGAACUACCAUUUUUCUUUUGGUCUUCUAUGGAGUGCCAUACACAGUAAAAAGGUUGUGGACAAAUAGACAAAAAUACCCUUUACCAAAGGGAGAGCAUUUUGCAUAGUUUUCAAAAACUUGAUAGGAUGAUACAUUAUUUUCGACAGCUACAGGGGGCAUUAAUUGGUGACAAGGUAAGCUAUUACCCAUAAGACUAUUGAUUUUGUUUGUAUUUAGAUAGCAAAUCAAAAACGAAAAAGAAGGUUUUUUUCUACACACCCAGUUGUCCACCAUCCUCUUAUAUGGUUCUACACACCCCAGUUGUCCACUUGUUGUUGAGUGUGGCAGGCGAGAAAAGCCAAUUAAGAAAGUGGCGGUCCAUACAAUUUUUGUCACUGUUCAUGUCAAUGUAGACAAUUUUCUCAUUCGGUCCGUUUUUAUGAUCCCCGACUUUGCAUAUUAGCUCUUAGUUCUUUCGGUCCGUUUUUAUGAUCCCCGACUUUGCGUAUUAGCUCUAAGUUCUUUCGGUCCGCUUUUAUGAUCCCCGACUUUGCGUAUUAGCUCUAAGUUAUUUUGGUCGGUUUUAUGAUACCUGAUUUUGCGUAUUAGCUCUAAGUUAUUUUGGUCCGUUUUGAUGGACUUUGCGUAAUAGCUCUAAGUUCUUUCGGUCGUUUUUAUGAUCCACGACUUUACGUAUUAGCUCUAAGGUCUUUCGGUCUGUUUUUAUGAUCCCCGACUUUGCGUAUUAGCUCUAAGUUCUUUCGGUCCAUUUUUAUGAUCCCCGACUUUGCGUAUUAGCUCUAAGUUCUUUCGGUCCCUUUUUAUGAUCCCCGACUUUGCGUAUUAGCUUUAAGUUCUUUCAGUCGGUUUUAUGAUCCCUGACUUUGCGUAUUAGCUCUAAGUUCUUUCGGUCCGUUUUGAUGGACUUUGCGUAUUAGCUCUAAGUUCUUUCGUUCGUUUUUAUGACGUAUUAGGUCUAAGUUCUUUCGGUCGUUUUUAUGAUUCCCGACGUUGCGUAUUAGCUCUAACUUCUUUCGGUCGGUUUUAUGAUCCCCGACUUUGCGUAUUAGCUCUAAGUUCUUUUGGUCCGUUUUGAUGAUCCCCGACUUUGCGUAUUACCUCUAAGUUCUUUCGGUCGGUUUUAUGAUCCCUGACUUUGCGUAUUAGCUUUAAGUUCUUUCGGUCUGUUUUGAUGGACUUUGCGUAUUAGCUCUAACUUCUUUCGGUCGUUUUUAUGAUCCCCAACUUUACGUAUUAACUCUAAGUUCUUUCGGUCCGUUUUUAUGAUCCCCGACUUUGCGUAUUAGCUCUAAGUUCUUUCGGUCGGUUUUUAUGAUCNNNNNNNNNNNNNNNNNNNNNNNNNNNNNNNNNNNNNNNNNNNNNNNNNNNNNNNNNNNNNNNNNNNNNNNNNNNNNNNNNNNNNNNNNNNNNNNNNNNNCAUUCUUGAGUGUAUCCCACAGCUCCUUGGCGGUUUCACAAUACGAGUAAGCCUCGAGAAUGGGCGCAUCUAAGGAGUUUUGAAUGAGCCCCAACACGUUUUGGUCCUCUUGGAACCAUUUCACUUCAUCAACCGGAACGGUUUCCUUGCCUUCUUUGGCUUCCUUUGGAGCUUCACCAUCUUCUAUGUGACUCCAAAGUCCACGGCCACACAAUGCCGUUUUCGUGGUCCUAGCCCACAACAAAUAGUUCCCACCCUUGAGGGUAANNNNNNNNNNNNNNNNNNNNNNNNNNNNNNNNNNNNNNNNNNNNNNNNNNNNNNNNNNNNNNNNNNNNNNNNNNNNNNNNNNNNNNNNNNNNNNNNNNNNGGAAUGGCUUGUAUAAAGUUAUUUUGGGUUAGAAUUGUUAGAAUUCAAGAGAAAUAAUGAGAAAUAGAGGUAAAGAGAUUGGUCGAACAAGAUUAGGAGAAGAAGAGAGAUUAAGAGAGUGAGAGAGGUGUGCGAGUAUGGAGAGAGUAUGGAGAAAGAGAGAAAAGUUCUCUUCUUACUUUAUUUAGAACAACAAUAGAAAGCUAUUUAUAGACAAGCUACAAAAGAAAUCGAAAACCCUAGGAGCUAUACAAGUUGACUACAAAUGAAAGUGACAUGUAUUGGUAAAAGGGCUUAAACAAACAUGUGACCCUCUUUUUGCGCUUUUCUCCAACGGCUAGAUAAGAAAUAUCUAGGCUUCCACUUCUUGAUCUUUUCCUUCUACAAUGGGGCUUCAAUGGGCUGAGAAGGUAAGCCCUUCUUCGAAGGUUGUACGGACGGUCCAAUCUCAUGUUGUACGGACGGCCCAUCUUCUCGGUAAACGUACGGUCGACCACGGACGGUCGACCUUGACAUGAUGCUCUCGAUCCCGGACAUGCUUUUCUCGAUCCCGAACAACUUCUCUCGACCACAACCAGACUUCUCUCGAUCAUGGAAGGAAUGCUCUCGACCUCGGACCACGGUAAGACAAUAUGAUCCCAUUAUGACAAAUGAUGUAACUUGAUUCACACUCCCCCUCAAGAUUAACCGUAAAGAAGCUGUUGAGGUUAAGCUUGACACCUUAUGAACACCCACCUCAUUAAAAACCUCCAUAUAGAAAACCACUUGGGAAAAACUAUAUGUGAGGGAAAAAGAGUGUGGGGAUCAUGGUUUGGUGAGAUCAAUGAGACCAAGCUUAGAGUGUAUAUACUCACAAACUUGAGGGCUGGCCGCUUUGGUGAAUAUGUCGGCCAAUUGUUCGGAGCUCUCGGUGUAACAAGGCAAGAUAACUCCAAGACCCACUUGUUCUCUAACCUUGUGACAAUCAAUCUCAAUAUGCUUCGUUCUCUCAUGGAAGACGGAGUUUGAUGCAAUAUGAAUAGCCGCUUCAUUGUCACAAUGCAUGGUGAUCGGAUCCGGAGUCUCGAUUCCCAAGUCUUUAAGCAAUGCCUUAAGCCAUAUUAACUCGGUAGUAAGCUUCCUCAUCGCUCUAUAUUCGGAUUCAGCACUAGAGAGGGAAACCACCUUUUGCUUCUUGCUCUUCCAUGUAACUAAAUUGCCUCCAAUGAAUGUACAAUAUCCGGUGGUUGAUCUUCUAUCUCCAUGGUCUCCGGCAUAGUCCGCAUCGCAAUACCCAACUAUCUCGGUGUUGUGAUUGCAUCCCAUCCAAAUUCCUUGACCGGGUGUACCCUUGAGAUAUUUGAGAAUGCGAUUGACCAUGUUCCAAUGAUGCAUGGUGGGAGCCUUCAUGUGUUGGCUUACCUGGUUCACGGAGUAACAAAUGUCCGGUCGUGUUAUAGUUAGAUAAAUAAGCUUACCUACCAAGCGCCGGUAUUGUGUGACAUCCGUGAAUGGUAUAUCUUCAUUCUCCCCCUUACCGCUAACUUGGAAAUCAACUUCAAGUGGACUUGCCAGCGGUCUUGACCCAAGCUUACCUACUUCACUUAAGAGAUCAAGGGUAUAUUUUCUUUGGGAUAAGAAGAGACCUUCCUUUGAUCUACAAACUUCUAUUCCAAGAAAAUACUUUAAUUCACCAAGGUCUUUAAUAUCAAAAACAGAUUUUAGAUAAUCUUUAGUUUCUUGAAUUCCCACCUUGUCAUUCCCGGAGAUGAUAAUAUCAUCUACAUACACAAGAAUGACUAUAAUACCUUUUUCGGUUUGGAUGGUGAAUAGGGUAUGGUCAGCCUCGGAUCGUUUGAAUCCUCGUUGAGUUAAGGUUGAGCUAAGUUUGUGGUACCAUGCCCUUGGAGAUUGUUUUAGACCAUAUAUAGCUUUGUUGAGCUUGAACACUUUUCCCGGAGCAAUCGUCUCUUCUAAACCCGGUGGAGGUCUCAUGUAAACCUCAUCUUCUAACUCUCCUUGAAGAAAUGCGUUUUUAACGUCCAUUUGCCACAGCUCCCACUCUAGAUUUACGGCCAAGGAGAGUACUACCCGAACGGUAUGAAGCUUAGCAACCGGUGCGAAGGUAUCAAGAUAGUCCUCUCCAUAGGUUUGGGUAAACCCUCUUGCCACAAGACGAGCUUUGUAUCGUUCUAUCUCUCCAUUACUCUUGUACUUAAUAGUGAAUAUCCAUUUAGAUGUAACCGCCCUCUUUCCUUUAGGUAGAUCCGAUUCAUCCCAAGUGUUAUUUAGCUCCAUAGCUUUAGUUUCUUCGUUAACCGCAUCUCUCCAAACCUUGUGAUCUUUAGCUUCUUCAUAACAUUGGGGAAUCCAGUGGAGAUCUACUUGAGUGACAAAAGCUUGGUGUUCUAUUGGAAGGUGAGCAAGAGUACACACCGCUUGUAUCGGGUGAGCUAUAGCCAUGUUGUUGUAGUACACUCGGUUGUGUUUCCAAUUUGAGGGGUGAGACUUGAUUCUUUCACUCCUUCUUAGUUCAAUGACUUCUUCUUGAGAUUCUUGUUCUUGCUCUUGAGAAGCUUCAUGUUCUUGUGAGAUAUCUUCUCUAAGAUGGUUUAAGCUUUCUUCUUCAUCACCAUGUUCUUCUAUGUUUGUAUCCAAGUCACUUUCUUCAUUGUGAAUUUCUUCACCAUUAUCAUUCGUGUCUUCUUCCCCAUCUUGGGUGGUGUUGUUUGAAGUGUUUGACCCGGAUGGAUUUUCGGUGGCUUGGUGAUUUUCAACUCCGAGCUUCUCUAAUAUGAUCCGGAGGUUAUGCGCACGAUCGGUCAUAGAGUGAGAUAGAUUCUUGAUAUCUUCCCAAUUCUUUUCUUCAUAGUACCCUUUAGAUUCUAGAAACUUAACAUCGCGCGAGACGUGUACCCUCCUUGAAUCCGGAUUAUAGCAUUUGUAACCCUUUUGUGUCGCGGAAUAACCAAUGAGCAUACAUUUGGUACUCUUUGCUUCUAACUUGUUACAGAGUUCACCUGGUUUCAACACAUAACACACACACCCAAACACGCGUAAGUGACUAAGAGAGGGUUUAGUUUUGUUAAGAACAUAGAAGGGUGAGAGGUCGCUUAGGAUUUUAGUUGGAGUCCGGUUGAUUAGGUAACACGCGGCUACCACGGCAUCUCCCCAAAACGUCUUUGGCACAUUGGUGUGGAACAUCAUAGACCUAGCCACUUCCAUUAGGUGUCUAUUCUUGCGUUCGGCCACUCCAUUUUGUUGUGGUGUGUAUGGACAACUUGUUUGGUGAAUAAUUCCAUGCUUUGCUAGGUGAUGUUUAAAAGCUUGGCUUGUAUACUCUCCCCCAUUAUCCGACCUUAAGAUCUUAAUCUUGGCAUUGUAAUGGUUAGUCACAUAAUUCUGAAAAUUCAUAAAUGCUUCAAGAACUCUAUCUUUAGAAGGAAGUAAGGUUAACCAAGUAUACUUAGACUUUUCAUCAAUGAAAGUAACAAAAUAUUUGUGAUUCUCUCUAGAUGAACAAGGAGAUGUCCACACAUCCGAAUGAAUCAAAUCAAAGCAAUGUUCAUAAAUAGUACUAGACUUGGGAAAAACAGUUUUGCAAUGUUUACCAAGAAUACAAGCCUCACAUUCAUCAUUCUUAAAACUCAUAUUAGGUAACAUAAGUUCAAGAGCUCUAGAGUGAGGAUGGCCAAGUCUAGCAUGCCAAAUAGCACUAUUAGCAUUAACAAUAAUUGAACUAAAACAAGAUAACAUAGAUGGGGAUAGGUUCGAGUCCUCUAGCACAUAUAAGCCAUCUCGCGUGGCUCCUUGACCAAGAACUCUACUUGUUUCAAUAUCCUGAAAACACACAUCGUUAGGACUAAAGAUAACAUAACAAUUCNNNNNNNNNNNNNNNNNNNNNNNNNNNNNNNNNNNNNNNNNNNNNNNNNNNNNNNNNNNNNNNNNNNNNNNNNNNNNNNNNNNNNNNNNNNNNNNNNNNNCGAACCGUGUUCCCUUUGGAUUUGAGAACACACUUCCUCGAGACUUGGGAGCUUCUCCGACCGAAGUAUGUGUUUGAUAAGGUCGUUGUACGAGGGAUUCAAGGUGAGAAGGAGACCAAAUACCUUGUCUUGCUCUCUCCUUUCAUUGAUAACGACCGGAUCUACCGUGCUUGGUCUAAGCAUCUCUAGCUCAGCCCAAAGAGAUCGGAACUUCCCAAAGUGUUUUGUAAACUCCAUGUCUUCUUGGCUAAGGUUGUUUAUAGCCCUUUUUACCUCAAAGACCCGAUUCAAGUUGGUGAUGUUUCCAAACACAUUCUUUAGUGUAUCCCACAGCUCCUUGGCGGUUUCACAAUACGAGUAAGCCUCGAGAAUGGGCGCAUCUAAGGAGUUUUGAAUGAGCCCCAACACGUUUUGGUCCUCUUGGAACCAUUUUACUUCAUCAACCGGAACGGUUUCCUUGCCUUCUUUGGCUUCCUUUGGAGCUUCACCAUCUUCUAUGUGACUCCAAAGUCCACGGCCACACAAUGCCGUUUUCGUGGUCCUAGCCCACAACAAAUAGUUCCCACCCUUGAGGGUAACCGGAACAACAAGGUUCUUCAUGACUUCCAUGAGAACGGACCGAUGGGUAAAAGAGUGUACCCGAAAAGUUUCAACAACCAAGAACACGAGUAACUAGAGAAUGAACGAGGAAGAUUUGUGAGGUGGGUGAGAAUAAGCUUGGAACGGUUUAGGAACAGAACCGCUCUGAUACCAUGUUAGAAUUCAAGAGAAAUAAUGAGAAAUAGAGGUAAAGAGAUUGGUCGAACAAGAUUAGGAGAAGAAGAGAGAUUAAGAGAGUGAGAGAGGUGUGCGAGUAUGGAGAGAGUAUGGAGAAAGAGAGAAAAGUUCUCUUCUUACUUUAUUUAGAACAACAAUAGAAAGCUAUUUAUAGACAAGCUACAAAAGAAAUCGAAAACCCUAGGAGCUAUACAAGNNNNNNNNNNNNNNNNNNNNNNNNNNNNNNNNNNNNNNNNNNNNNNNNNNNNNNNNNNNNNNNNNNNNNNNNNNNNNNNNNNNNNNNNNNNNNNNNNNNNNNNNNNNNNUUCUUGAUCUUUUCCUUCUACAAUGGGGCUUCAAUGGGCUGAGAAGGUAAGCCCUUCUUCGAAGGUUGUACGGACGGUCCAAUCUCAUGUUGUACGGACGGCCCAUCUUCUCGUUAAACGUACGGUCGACCCUUGACAUGAUGCUCUCGAUCCCGGACAUGCUUUUCUCGAUCCCGAACAACUUCUCUCGACCACAACCAGAAUUCUCUCGAUCAUGGAAGGAAUGCUCUCGACCUCGGACCACGGUAAGACAAUAUGAUCCCAUUAUGACAAAUGAUGUAACUUGAUUCACAAGAAUAUGUUAUAAUACAAGGAAUUUGAUUGAUUACAAUUGCUAGAAAUGCAUGAAGAUUUUUUAGAAGUGAGAAGAAAGACUUGUUGAAAUUUGGUCUCAAAUGGGAUAAUAAUAUGAUCUCCCUAGGAUUGAACUCCGAUGAAGGCUGAAGAUGGGUGAUGUGCGACGUGAUCUGGUUGAUGAUGAUGGACGAUGGCUUUGAGUGAUGAUGUGUGAAGAUCGAAUGAUGAAAACAAUGGUUUAAUGGAGAUAGAUGUUUAGGUGGUUGUAUGGAUUGUAACAAUGAAGAGUUUCUGAAUCACAAAGUGUAUAGAAACCCGGAAAUCUAGAACGCAUUCAAGAAUUCGAAUUGAGAGAAAAAGUGUGACAAUACUUGUUCAUACAACUUCUUUGCUAAAGAGAAAAGAGGCGUAGCUUAGGGUUUUAAAUACCCUAGGGCACGACACUCCAAACAACAAGAAGUUCAAAACCAAAACAACAAGAUGUUUUAAGGAAAUAAUAAAAACAGCAAGAUUUCCCGACGUCCUGUAGUAGUACAGAAAUCGGCUGAACUAGUACAGAAGCUUGACGACCUGUAGUAGUACAGAAGUACAUUAUUCCCCUUUGGUAAUGAUUUCUAGAUAACUCGACGUAGUGAUCCAUUUGCCUCAUUAAAAACCAUGCUGAGAAAACCCAUUGGGACAAAACUCAGCUAUGGGAAAAAGAGUACAAACUUCUCACCUAAGUUACNNNNNNNNNNNNNNNNNNNNNNNNNNNNNNNNNNNNNNNNNNNNNNNNNNNNNNNNNNNNNNNNNNNNNNNNNNNNNNNNNNNNNNNNNNNNNNNNNNNNNNNNNNNNNNNNNNNNNNNNNNNNNNNNNNNNNNNNNNNNNNNNNNNNNNNNNNNNNNNNNNNNNNNNNNNNNNNNNNNNNNNNNNNNNNNNNNNNNNNNNNNNNNNNNNNNNNNNNNNNNNNNNNNNNNNNNNNNNNNNNNNNNNNNNNNNNUCAGGUAGGUUGAAUGACUCGUCAGCUAUGAGUGCGUGUGCUUCCUUGGCCAUCUCCUUAGCUCUUGAACGAGUGAUCCUUCCCACCAUCUCCGGUUUCUCUGUAGCCUCUUGCUCCGUGCUAGCCACGAUGAUAUCAUCCUCCCCCUCUUCAAAAGGAUUUGUCCUCAAAUCGGAAUCUGCAUAGUAAGGGAGCAAGUCAGAAACAUUCCUUCUUCAAAGUUGAGCUCCUUUCUGCCCUUGUUCGCAUGUUUCUCGUACUGCUUGGUUCUUUUCUCUAUGUUCUCCUUAGCUUUAGCAUGUAUCCUCCUGACCUGUUCAGCCUUUUCCUUGCCAUCAAAGCUACACUUCACACUUAAAGGUAAAGGAAUCAAGUCUAGAGGUGAUUGUGGGUUAAAACCAUAAACAAUUUCAAAAGGAGAGAAGAGAGUAGCAGAAUGCUUAGCGUGAUUAUAGGCAAACUCAACAUGUGGUAGACAUUCUUCCCAUGACUUGAGAUUGCUUCUUACUAAAGUCCUGAAGAUUGUAGAUAGCGUCUUGUUCACUACUUUAGUUUGCCCAUCCGUUUGCGGGUGACAUGUGGUUGAGAAUGACAACUUGGUUCCUAGCUUAGCCCAUAACGUCCUCCAGAAGUGUCCUAGCAACUUUGUAUCUCGGUCUGAAACAAUAACUUGAGGCACUCCAUGUAGACGUACUACUUCCCUGUCAACCACAACAAAAAUCGAAUCUCUACCAUUUCUGGUUCGAGGUAAGCCAAGAAAUGGUGGUUUGGACUUGGGUCUUCUCUUGGGCUGUUCUACAUGGGCUGGGGCCUUGUGGUGAUUCAAAUGAGUGUGUGGACUCCCUUCAUAGCUGAUCCAAGUGUUAAAAGACUUCAAAUCCUCACAGCUCGCAAUCUGAUGUAGUUCAGGCAGUCGGUUAGCGAGUAGUUCAGGCAGUCGGUCAGCGAGUAGUUCAGCAUGCUUGUCAGCGAGUAGUUCAGCAUGCUUAUCCGUGAGUAGAUCAGAAUGUACAUCAGUUAUCAUCUUUGAAUCAUAUGGAUGGUGAAUGAUUCCUUGAUGACUUGGUGUUGCCUCAUUAAAUACAUCCUUGUACUCCUCUAUAAUCUCUAUCAUCUCGCGUGGAAGCUCUUGUGCUGAAUUAGUACUGGUGAGUGUCUCCUUAUACACAAACGUGAAUGUGGUCAUCUCUGGUUCAAAUAGCUUGUUGAACUCACUAUGAUUGAUGUACAGGCUGUGAGACACUUUUCCUGUAUCCUUGCGGUUCAUUUGAAGCUGGUCAUUGUAGACUUCGCUGGGUGUAAGUGGUAAAAGAGUGAUCUUGCGUCCUUUGAACUCAAAUGACUGCUUGUUGGUGUAGCCAUCCUGAAACACUCUUCUAUCGAACUGCCAUGGUCUUCCCAACAGAAUAUGACUUGACUUCAUUGGAAUCACAUCACAUAGCAACUCAUCCUCAUAAUUCCCAAUCGUUAGUUUCACCAUCACUUGCUGUGAAACUGUUAAAGCUCCCUUGUUGUUCAACCAUUGUAGCUGAUAAGGUCUUGGAUGUGAAGUGGUCUUGAGAUUAAGCUUCUGAACCAUCUCUUCACUGGCUGCAUUAGUACAGCUUCCUCCAUCAACGAUCAAGGUGCAGACCUUGUCUUGAACCAUACACCUGGUGUGAAAUAGGUUCUCACGCUGACCUCUAUCAUCUGGGUGUAUCUGAACACUUAAAGCUCUGCGUGCCACUAGCAUCUCUCCCAUGACUGCGGUUUCUCCUUCCUGAUCUAGUUCAGGCUCUGGUUCACUUUCUGAACUAUCUACAAGCACAAUUUCUCCUCCUUCUUGAAGAAGAAACAUCUUCUUGUUAGGACAGUCUCUCGAGUAAUGCCCCAUUCCUUGGCACUUGAAACACCUGAUAUGACUUGUAGAGGUGCUACUCUUGGGCUUGUAAUCGAUUUUAACUUCCUCUUUGACGGUGGCUGUCGCGGGUUUACUAUCCUUGGUGAAGGCGGGUUUGCUGAACUCUCUUGGCUUAGACAUAUUAGGCGUAAAUGCUGUUCUCAGCCCCUUUCUCUUGGUCUGUGAUUCAAUCAGCUCUGCCUUAUGUACCAUUUCCUGAACAUCUUCAUAGUUCUGCAACUCUACCUUGUCUUGAAUCUCUCUGUUUAAACCUCCAAGAAACCUUGACAUAACCAUGUCUUCACUUUCUCUUAGAUCAGCCCUGAUCAUAAGCGUUUCCAGCUCUUGAUAGUAGUCUCUAACAGACUUAGUACCUUGGACCAGAUACCAGGGCUUGCCUUGGCCGUAGCUCUUUGGUAGUGUGUGGGUACAAACUUCUUCCUCAUUUGCGUGACUAACUGUUCCCAUGUAGUGAUAGCAGGCUCUCUCUAUCGAUGUCUAGUAAGUCCUAGCUGCUCCCACCACAACAAAGCAUAGCCAUUGAAUUCAGAUAUGGCUAUCUUCACCUUGUUCAACUCAUAAGUACCCUGAAUUAGACUCCAUCUUCCUUUCCCAGUCUAGAUAAGUCUCUGGAUCAUUGGUACCAUGGAAAGAAGGAUAUUGAAUCUUGAGAUGAUUCAGCUGCUGCNNNNNNNNNNNNNNNNNNNNNNNNNNNNNNNNNNNNNNNNNNNNNNNNNNNNNNNNNNNNNNNNNNNNNNNNNNNNNNNNNNNNNNNNNNNNNNNNNNNNCACGACUUGCAGACCUAAUGUAGAGCAGAACAACACAAACUCGAAAAAUACCAAACCCUAUAGCUAACGACUCGAAAUAACUAAACCCUAAUUGCAGUUUAAUUUUGAAUCAACACAAAACUAACUCCUAAACGACCUAGACACAAACGCUCAAACAAAAACUAAACCCUAUUCGAUCUAGACACAAAACAAAUUCAACAAAACUCAAAACAAACCCUAAACUAAACAAACGAAAUUAAGCAAGAGAUUAGGGUUCUUAGAAUCGCUUAGCCUUGGCACAGAGUUGGCUCUGAUACCACAUAAUAUGAUUUCCCUAGGAUAGAACUCCGAUGAAGGCUGAAGAUAGGUGAUAGGCGACGUGAGUUUGUUGAUGAUGAUGGGCGAUGAACGUGAGUGAUGAUAUGAGAAGAUUGAAUGAUGAAACAAUGGUUUGAUGGAGAUAGAUGUUUAGGUGGUUGUAUGGAUUGUAACAAUGAAGAGUUUCUGAAUCACAAAGUGUAUAGAAACCCGGAAAUCUAGAACGCAUUCAAGAAUUCGAAUUGAGAGAAAAAGUGUGACAAUACUUGUUCAUACAACUUCUUCGCUAAAGAGAAAAGAGGCGUAGCUUUGGGUUUUAAAUACCCUAGGGCACGACACUCCAAACAACAAGAAGUUCAAAACCAAAACAACAAGACGUUUUANNNNNNNNNNNNNNNNNNNNNNNNNNNNNNNNNNNNNNNNNNNNNNNNNNNNNNNNNNNNNNNNNNNNNNNNNNNNNNNNNNNNNNNNNNNNNNNNNNNNNNNNNNNNNNNNNNNNNNNNNNNNNNNNNNNNNNNNNNNNNNNNNNNNNNNNNNNNNNNNNNNNNNNNNNNNNNNNNNNNNNNNNNNNNNNNNNNNNNNNNNNNNNNNNNNNNNNNNNNNNNNNNNNNNNNNNNNNNNNNNAGUACUCAUCACCGGGUGAAGUCUUCAGGUUAGAUAUGUUGAAGACUUGGAUCCUUGGUAGGUUGAAUGACCCGUCAGCUAUGAAUGCGUGUGCUUCCUUGGCCAUCUCCUUAGCUCUUGAACGAGUGAUCCUUCCCACCUUCUCCGGUUUCUUUGUAGCCUCUUGCUCCGUGCUAGCCACGAUCAUAUAAAAAGACUUGUUGAAAUUUGGUCUCAAAUGGGAUAAGAACACAAAACCAUUGCUUUGAGGCAGUGAAUGGCUUGUAUAAAGUUAUUUUGGGUUAGAAUAUGUUAUAAUACAAGGAAUUUGAUUGAUUACAAUUGCUAGAAAUGCAUGAAGAUUUUUUAGAAGUGAGACCAAAAUAUCUUGGAAUUNNNNNNNNNNNNNNNNNNNNNNNNNNNNNNNNNNNNNNNNNNNNNNNNNNNNNNNNNNNNNNNNNNNNNNNNNNNNNNNNNNNNNNNNNNNNNNNNNNNNAUCUCUCGAUCCAACCCGUUUCCAAGUCAUCCACUUCAGCCCAUUUAAAGGGCCCAAUCCGUAGAAGAAGUGGUGAAAAGAAGGAAGUCUAGAUCCUUCUCUUGUUACCGUUGGGAGCUCGCAAGUGGAGAAGUCACAUGUUCUCUUUAAGCUCCAUUACCAAAGACAUGUCGCUUUCUUGAUAUUGACUUGUAUAGCAUCUAGGGUUUUCUCAUUCUUUGUGUAGUUUUGACUAUAAGUAGUCUUGUAUUAUGUUCUAAAUCAAGUAAGUAGAGUUUUUACACUCUCUCUUCUAUUCUCUCUCACUUUUACAAACCGCAAUCUCACUUCUCCUCCUUUGUUCGAUCCAAAUCUUCUAAUCUCUCUAUUCUCUCGAUCUUUUACUUCAAAUCUUACACCAUUCACUGCCUCAAAGCAAUUGUUUUGGGUUCUUAUCCCAUUUGAGACCAAAUAUCAACAAGUCUUUCUUCUCACUUCUAAACAUUCUUCAUGUAUCUCUAGCACUUGUAAUCAAUCAAAUUCAUUGUAUUAUAACAUAUUCUAACCCAAAAUAACUUAAUCCAAGCCAUUCACUGCCUCAAAGCAAUUGUUUUGGGUUCUUAUCCCAUUUGGGACCAAAUAUCAACAAGUCUUUCUUCUUACUUUUAAACAUUCUUCAUGCAUCUCUAGCACUUGUAAUCAAUCAAAUUCAUUGUAUUAUAACAUAUUCUAACCAAAAAUAAAUUUAUACAAGCCAUUCACUUCCUCAAAGUAAUGGUUUUGGGUUCUUAUCCCAUUUGUGACCAAAUAUGAACAAGUCUUUCUUCUCACUUCUUAACAUUUUUCAUGUAUCUCUAGCACUUGUAAUCAAUAGCACCUGUAAUCAAUCAAAUUCAUUGUAUUAUUACAUAUUCUAACCCAAAAUAACUUAAUCCAAGCCAUUCACUGCCUCAAAGCAAUGGUUUUGGGUUCUUAUCCCAUUUGUGACCAAAUAUCAACAAGUCUUUCUUCUCACUUUUAAACAUUUUUCAUGCAUCUCUAGCACUUGUAAUCAAUCAAAUUCAUUGUAUUAUAACAUAUUCUAACCAAAAAUAACUUUAUCCAAGCCAUUCACUGCCUCAAAGCAAUGGUUUUGGGUUCUUAUCCCAUUUGUGACCAAAUAUCAACAAGUCUUUCUUGUCACUUUUAAACAUUCUUCAUGCAUCUCUAGCACUUGUAAUCAAUCAAAUUCAUUGUAUUAUAACAUAUUCUAACCCAAAAUAACUUAAUCCAAGCCAUUCACUGCCUCAAAGCAAUGGUUUUGGGUUCUUAUCCCAUUUGGGACCAAAUAUCAACAAGUCUUUCUUCUCACUUUUAAACAUUCUUCAUGCAUCUCUAGCACUUGUAAUCAAUCAAAUUCAUUGUAUUAUAACAUAUUCUAACCCAAAAUAACUUUAUACACACCAUUCACUGCCUCAAAGCAAUGGUUUUGGGUUCUUAUCCCAUUUAUGACCAAAUAUCAACAAGUCUUUCUUCUCACUUUUAAACAUUCUUCAUGCAUCUCUAGCACUUGUAAUCAAUCAAAUUCAUUGUAUUAUAACAUAUUCUAACCCAAAAUAACUUUNNN